rnacentral:lncRNA from 1 species
UUUCUUUAGCCGACGAAAUAUACUAUAAUUCGUCGGCUAAGAUGGUUUUUACCGACGAAUAUACUAUAUUUCGUCGGCUAUAGUUAUUUUUAAUUUUUUAAUUACAUACUAUAGCCGACGAAUACGUUAGGGUAUUCGUCGGCUAAACCCUAAAAUUUUUCUAUUACCUAUUAUAGCCCUAUAUUCGGUGGUUAUUUUGCGUAAAAUUUUUAUACGACUUGUUGCGUGUCAUCGGUUUAAAACUAUUUUCAGUUAGAGGUCCGGCCAAAAUACGUAAUUUAGACGGUCGAACGACCUUUUCCGUGCGUUUAGGGGUUUGACUUACGAGAUUGACCGUCCGGAUCGAGCCCUUACUCUUUUCGGAUCAAGUUGAAUUUUUUCCCAUACAUGUAUUUUAUCAUGAUGGUCAGAUCUGACGGUCGGAUUUCUGUUUCUCAAGUUUGAUCAUCACAAUCACAACAUGCAUACUAAUGUUGUAUAACUUGUUUACCAAGUGUUAUGUAAAUGUUCCGUUUCAAAAACAAACUAUACGUAAAACCUUCAAACGCCAAAAAGUCCUGAAAUAAGAUAUGACGAGAAUGUUGAAAUACAUCCACGGUUGAAAAAUCACACUAUUCCAGUAAAUAUUCGGUGCCGAUAAUUGCGGUCAAUGCAAUUUUUCAUUUUUUCCCUCUAUGAGUAGCCCUAUAUUCGGUGGUUGUUUUGCGUAAAAUUUUGAUACGACUUGUUGCGUGUCAUCGGUUUAAAACUAUUUUCAGUUGGAGGUCCGGCCAAAAUACGUAAUUUAGACGGUCGAACGACCUUUUCCGUGCCUUUAGGGGUUUGACUUACGAAAUUGACUGUCCGGAUCGAGCCCUUAUUCUUUUCGGAUCAAGUUGAAUUUUUUCCCAUACAUGUAUUUUAUCAUGAUGGUCAGAUCUGACGGUCGGAUUUCUGUUUCUCAAGUUUGAUCAUCACAAUCACAACAUGCCAAGUGUAUAAAAAUACUUUUAGCCGACGAAUUUCAAAGGUUAGCCGACGAAUUUCAAAGGUUUAGCCGACGAAUUUGUAAAGUUUAGCCGACGAAUUUCAAAGUUUUAGCCGACGAGUUUAGACGGUUUAGCCGACGAAUUUCUAUCUUUAGCUGACGAAAUAAUUAUUUCGUCGGCUAAAGUUUUCGGGUUAAGUGCGAAACCCUAGCCUCCUCCCUCCUCCCUUCUAAUUAUCNNNNNNNNNNNNNNNNNNNNAUGUUUUAUGUUUUAUGUACUGUCUAAUUUCCCUAAUUUAUGUUUAGGAGAUAAAUUAUCGUUAUUUUUUAAACAUAUGCUUUGUUGAUAAUGAACUUGAUGCUUGCAUUCCAUGAUUAGGUACUGGUUUUAUCGUGGGCUAGGUACAAAUUUUUAAACAUAAGAUACAAAAUACAAAAUAGAAAAACUUAUAUCAAAUCCGGAUGAAUAUAUAUAUAUAUAUAUUUUAUUGAAUUCAUAUUUUUGAAUAAGUAUAAUUUUAAACAUAUAUAUAUUUCACAUUAUAUUAAGUGUUUAAAUUUAAGCAUGAACAUAAUGAAAAAAUAUGGUUUGAAAAAUAUUUUUUAUACAAUAAAGACAAAAUAAUCUAAAGCCUUAGAUUUGAGAAGGAUAAGCUUGAAUUUUUACUUUUUCAAUGUUUCCUCAGCCUUGAUUCAAAUUAAUAUUUUAAAUAGGAUGAGUGGCUAUUUUAGAUCGAAGAAGAGUUCGAAGGGCCAAAGGUCCGAAUCGUCUGAGGGAACCUCUAGCAACCCCCAAACGACGUUUCAGGGCCAGAUGACAGCCAGACAUGCGAGCCUUCUGGAGACGGCGCAGAGGCAGCCGGAGGUGCCCCUUUCAUCGAGGCAGGCGGCCGUCCCUCGUUCCUCGAGGCAGCUGUGGCCUCAGACCCAGACGGAGGUGUCUGCACCCCGUAUGCCUGAGAUACACCGGGCGCCCACUCCGGGUCCUACUUCUUCGGAUAGUGGGUCAUCUGGGGUACAGAUGCCGCCGCCUCAUCUGUUCCUUCCGCGGAUGAUACCGGCCUUACCUGUAGUCGAUGGCUCAGGGACGCCGAUUUAUCCACUGCCCCCGCCAGUGGCUCCAUCAGCGGCGUACCGGUUCGUGCCUUUUGAUACGCCUCUUAUUUCUGCGAGGGUAUCAUCGUCGGCGACAGAGACGGAAUCCGUCACGUCCGCCGCGAGCGCCUCAGGUAAUCAGUGAUGCAUGAUUAUUUUUAAAGGGUCUCCGAUUUUAAUAAUCAAUUUGGUUUAUCAUGUGAUAGGCACCGUAGGAGCGAAGCCGACAAAGAAGAAGAGAGGCCCCGUCACAGGGAAGGCUCUCGAGAAGAUCAUGGGUACCGUGGGGAGGAUCGUCAUCAAUACUGACGGGGAUGGCCACAUAGUAUCGGGCGGGAAGUCGAGGACGUACUCCGGCCGCGUGGGAGCGCUCAUUAGGGAUAGAGUCCCUAUGUUGUGGUCAGACUGGGGCGAGGUCCCGUAGGAGGUUAAGGACAUGGUCCAGAACGCGAUGUCGGUGAGUUUACAAAAUAAUAUUAUGUAUUACAUUGUUGAUUUCUCGAAAAACUAAAGCAAUAAACGGUUAAAUGCAGGUGUGGUUUGAGGUUCCCGAGCACCUGAAGGACAGCUGGGCCAAUGUUGUGCAUGGGGGAAGGUACGUUGGGAAGUUAAUGAAAAACAAAAUUGUAUGUGAUAUUAAUAAUAUUUCUAAUAUUUUUGUUGUAUCUGUAGGUACAAGGAGUGGAAGAACGAGUUGCGUACCCACUGGACUACGCACGGGAACGCACGUUCUGGUACCCCUGCUGAGUUCCAGUACAGGGAGUACGAGUGGCGUUGGCUUCUGACAUCAGAAUUCAACAACCCUCGUAAACAGGUAUUUAAAAAACUUAAUUAGUUAAUUUNNNNNNNNNNNNNNNNNNNNNNNNNNNNNNNNNNNNNNNNNNNNNNNNNNNNNNNNNNNNNNNNNNNNNNNNNNNNNNNNNNNNNNNNNNNNNNNNNNNNNNNNNNNNNNNNNNNNNNNNNNNNNNNNNNNNNNNNNNNNNNNNNNNNNNNNNNNNNNNNNNNNNNNNNNNNNNNNNNNNNNNNNNNNNNNNNNNNNNNNNNNNNNNNNNNNNNNNNNNNNNNNNNNNNNNNNNNNNNNNNNNNNNNNNNNNNNNNNNNNNNNNNNNNNNNNNNNNNNNNNNNNNNNNNNNNNNNNNNNNNNNNNNNNNNNNNNNNNNNNNNNNNNNNNNNNNNNNNNNNNNNNNNNNNNNNNNNNNNNNNNNNNNNNNNNNNNNNNNNNNNNNNNNNNNNNNNNNNNNNNNNNNNNNNNNNNNNNNNNNNNNNNNNNNNNNNNNNNNNNNNNNNNNNNNNNNNNNNNNNNNNNNNNNNNNNNNNNNNNNNNNNNNNNNNNNNNNNNNNNNNNNNNNNNNNNNNNNNNNNNNNNNNNNNNNNNNNNNNNNNNNNNNNNNNNNNNNNNNNNNNNNNNNNNNNNNNNNNNNNNNNNNNNNNNNNNNNNNNNNNNNNNNNNNNNNNNNNNNNNNNNNNNNNNNNNNNNNNNNNNNNNNNNNNNNNNNNNNNNNNNNNNNNNNNNNNNNNNNNNNNNNNNNNNNNNNNNNNNNNNNNNNNNNNNNNNNNNNNNNNNNNNNNNNNNNNNNNNNNNNNNNNNNNNNNNNNNNNNNNNNNNNNNNNNNNNNNNNNNNNNNNNNNNNNNNNNNNNNNNNNNNNNNNNNNNNNNNNNNNNNNNNNNNNNNNNNNNNNNNNNNNNNNNNNNNNNNNNNNNNNNNNNNNNNNNNNNNNNNNNNNNNNNNNNNNNNNNNNNNNNNNNNNNNNNNNNNNNNNNNNNNNNNNNNNNNNNNNNNNNNNNNNNNNUUAAUUCGUCGGACUUAAAGUUUUUUAUUUUUUUUUAAAAUAAGUUUUAGCCGACGAAAUAUGCUUUAAUUCGUCGGCUAAAUCCCUAUAAAGCCGACGAAAUAUACUAUAUUUCGUCGGCCAUAGAUGUUUUUAUUUUUUUAUUACAAACUUUAGCCGACGAAUAUUUUAAAUUAUUCGUCGGGUAAAGUCGUAAAAAUAACCGAUGACAUUUUGUUCGUCGGCUAAACUCUAGACUAUAGCCGACGAAUUCCUUAAAUGCUUCGUCGGCUAAAGUUUGGCAGAUAACCAAUGACAUUUUUUCGUCGGCUAAAGUCUGGACUAUAGCCGACGACUUCUACAUGUGUCGUCGGCUAAAGUCACCACAGACGAGCUUUUCCCGACGAAAUCUUAGCCGACGAAAGGUCGUCGGCUAAGAUCUUAGCCGACGAAUUAAGCUGACAGGCCGACGAAAAAUUUUCGUCGGCUAAAGUGCUUGUCCUGGUAGUGAUAUCAUCAUACUUAGUGCUUGAUGACAAGCACAUAAUGAAAGAAUCUCCCCCAUAUGAAAACCUUCCAAACUUAGAAUUAGACAUCCUACAAAAAAUGUUCACACACACUAUCAAACAGAGCUAUGCACAUACAUUAAAAGAUUAAAAACGGCAGCGUGCCGCUGCACUGCUAAUCCGACUAGUACACCACCUCAAACCAAAAAAUGCAACUAAGACAAGCUAGGGAGCUGCUACCAAAAAAAUCGUAAAAAACACUAAUGCCUACUACUACACAGAUUAGACUAGUAAAAUGUCUGCUACUACACCUGCUGAACAUUAAGAAUAAAAAAAAUCCUAAAAAACACUAAUGUUAAAGAGCUGCUACUACACAGACUAGACUAGUUAUGUAUCUGCUAUUACACUUGCUGAACCACAAGAAUCACCAAAAAUCCAAAAAAACACAAAUGUUAAAGAGCUGCUACUACACAGACUAGACUAGUUAUAUGUUUGCUACUACACCUGCUGAACCACAAAAUCCAAUCAAAAUUACAAAACCAUAAUGAGUAAUUAGAUCUUGAUACAACAAGAUGUAUAUAUAUGCUACUAUAGUACUUGCUGAGAACACAGAAUCAAUAAAGCUACAAAAAAUAUUCUGAUACUGCAUUUACUGAAAAAAUCCGAAAAAAGGAAGUAUGUUGCUGCACCACAAAAUGACCAUACUAAAUGAUGAAAGUAUAUCAAUGAACCUAAAGGGCAGCGUGUCGCUGCACCGCCGAAAAAAAAUCUAAAACGUUCUCGUUACAACACACAUUAAAACAUUGAAUCAACCCCAUAACAAACACCUGCUACUGCAUAUAAACUAGAAUAGCUGAAACAUUGAAUCAAAACAUAUAAAAUACAAUAGCUACUGCAUAUAAACGGCAAAUAAAACAUAUCAAAACAAACACCUGCUACUACAAGUAGCUGAAACAUUGAAUCAAAACAAAUAAACAAAAACAAGCACGACCUAGGCAUCAAAACAAAAACAUGCUACUACAAUAGCUGAAAACAUUGAAUCAACCCCAAAACAAACACCUGUUACUGCAUAUUAACUAGAAUAGCUAAAACAUUGAAUCAAAACAUAUAAAAUACAAUAGCUACUGCAUAUAAACUGUAAAUAAAAACAUAUCAAAACAAACACCUGCUACUACAAGUAGCUUAAACAUUGAAUCAAAACAAAUAAACAAAACCAAACAAGACCUAGGCAGCUGCUACUACAAUAGCUGAAAACAUUGAAUCAAAACCAAAACAAGCAUCUACAAAUUUCAAUAGCUCAACAAAUCUGCUUCGAAUGAACUUUAAAAUUGAUUUAUAACUGCAAUUGGAAAAUUAUCUACACAAAACCUAAACAGAAAUAGCUCGUCAUCAAAUUUCAAUUCAAAAUUCAAAAAGAUGAAAACACCAUAAGAAUAAAGAAUAAAGAGAUUCAACCUACAAAUUGCUCACUAAUAACAUCAAAGCAUCAAACAGAUUCAAAAAUGAAGUAACCCUAAACGAAAAUUGGAUCAAAUUCAGAGGAAUUCGAUACAACUAGCUUUUCAGUAGAUCAGAAAGCUUGAAAUCGACGGAGAAGAAUGAAAACUUAAGCAUGUGAGAAGAAGAAGUAUGAAAGUUACCUGCAAAUUCACCUAUGGAGACGAAGCAAAACAAAAUCACAACGACGAAGAGACCGAGAGAUCGCAACGACGAAGCGACGAGGAACAGACUGAGAGAGAAACGUUGCGUUUCAAUCGUCCUCUAGCGUUUAUAUACUCCUCCUCACAGCCAUAAAUUGGUUAGUUGGUUAUGCAAGGACAAUUUAGUAAAACUAUCUCAUGACACAUGACAUGCACAUAAAAGAUUGUCCUUAUUUGUUUAAAGUAAACACAAGUAAAUUUAUUUGUAUUUCAUAUCCUUUUAGAGGAUGUAUAUGUGAUUUGCUAUUAUUUUUUUUCCAUACCAUGGUCCUCACCAAAUUCAAGUGAUCUUAUUGACUAUGACCACCAUAUGUUCUAGUCUCGACGAUAAAACUACCCAAUCAAGAAUUGGUGUAAGUCUCAUAAUCGAUUUAGUUUCCGCUCUCACAUUAUUAAUAAUACAAAUAACUCGGUCAAAGCUUUUAUUUUUAUCAUCUUUUUUCCGUUAUUGGUAAAUAUGAAUAUUUGUGUGGUUGGAUCACACCAAUAUGUCAACCAAUAUUUUGGUAAAUUAAUAUUAUGUCCAAAAUAAGGAGUGAAUAGUAUUUUUAUAUAUGGUAGACCAAUUAUCACUUGAAUAUAAUUACAUAUCCAAAUUAGUAUUUUGACUGUACAAUUUUUUUUUCAAUAAUGUUUUGACUGUACAAUUAAUACUAAUAAAAAUGGCUUUUUUUUUUAAAAAAAAAAAAAGAAGAAAACGAGAAGCUUUUAUAUAUGAUCAAUCAUAUAAGAGUAGUGGCAGCACUACUGAUGCAAUGGUAACCUUUUUUUGCCUAAAAAGUGAUACAUGCACAAAGAAAUCUUUAGUAUCAUACAGACCACGGUUUUACCGUAUAUAAUAAAACAAUGAAUCUAGAUAAAAGUUACCAUGCAUAGUUUAUAUUUUCUUAAUACACAUGAUAGAGCCAAGCACAAAAUGCCAGAAAAGUUUAAUAUUUUUUCCAUAUAAACCAAACAAAAUAUCAUCCAAAUAAAGUAGUCAUAAAUGAAUACCACAAAGCUAUCUUAUCUUUUUUGUAUAAAUACAUAUAUAACUGUGUACCUAUCAGACUUGAACUUGUUAAGAAAAUUGAAAAUGAAGCUGGGACAGAUUUAUUGUGUUGUAUUGCUCCUAGCUCUUGCCUUUGGUUUAUGUAAUGCGUGGACUUGGUGGGAUCACGAGCCUGGGAAAAAGAAAUUUGUACGCAUCGUCAACAAUUUGAACAACGGACAGAGACUUAAUCUUCGUUGUCAAUCGAAAAAUGAUGAUCUUGGUGUUCACAAUAUUGCUGUUAAUGAGCAAUAUGAAUUUGGCUUUCGGAUCAACAUUUGGGGCACCACUCUCUUUUUUUGCCAUUUAUGGUAUUUGGACAAGAGUGUAAAGUUUGAUGCGUUUAAAGCUGAUGAGAAUUUUUUUUUUCGAAUGUGAUGGAGAUCAUUGCAUAUGGUAUGCUAAAGAGAAUGGAGUAUAUCUAGGGCAACAUUGGGAAUAUCUUUGGGGAAAAGCUUGAAUACCUUGAAUACAUGUAUGACAUGAUUAAUAAGAAGCUUGAUAGAUGAUGAUUAUGAUGAUGAUGUUUCUAAUAAAUUUCAUCGAUUGUCAAAUUAAUACAAUAUGCUCUAGUUAAGUAUAAUUAAUAAAAUUUAUUAUCAAAAUGUUGGUAGAAGUUUCAAGGGCCAAUGAUAAAAUGGUACAUUUAAAAGUAACAAAUGAUAAAAUUGUUAACAAAUGUUCCUUGAUGAUAAAACAAUACUACCCAUUUAAAUUCCUUAAAAAAAUUACAUGCCAUGCCACUGACAAAAACCGCUACACGUUAACCAGGAUCCAACUGGGUCGCUCACUCUCAACUCGAAUCCAUCUCCCUCACUCUCUCUUUCUCUUUUCUCUGUGAAUCCCUCUCUCUCCGGCGAAUCCGUCGUCCUCCACGAAAUCUGAUUUCUUAGUCCUGGUAAUUUCUAAAUCGUCGUACUUCUGGUAAUUCCUAAAUCUACCGAGAUUGAUGCCUUUACCAAAGCGAGAUUAGAGAGAACAAAUCUAGAUCUAGAAGCACACCACAGAGCUCUCCGCCGUCGUUGUCGACGAUUUCAUCCUCCUUGAUUUGUCUUUUGUCCUUUAACAAAUCUUUUUACGUCAUGGCUUCUCGAAUUAACCACGAUCCUUCUUUUCUACACUCAUUCAUCGGCCCUGACAUCAGAGAGUUCUCGCUGUGGAUCUUCAAAGGCAAGCUGUCCCAUGAGUCAAAGAAGGUGGUCACAAGCAUCCAUCAUCCUUUCUGCUACAUGGCUUGGAAUCUUAUCCUUGCUUUGAUCUACACUGGCCUUUCAAUGGGUCUGGUCAAGUGUAAGUGGGUUAAGCUCUAUUUAAAGGUAUUGGUCUGUUUGUGUUUUGAUGAUUCUCUCCUUGUUUGUUUGUUUACUAGUGUUUGUCUGAUUAUUCUACCUUUGGAUCUCUAAAUCUAUGAGUUAAUAAUUUGGAUCUCAUAAAUAAACUCAAAUAAGGGCUGACCUUCUCAAGUUCUUGAGCAAGGAAUGUGAGGAAAGAGCUGCUACACACUUGAAUUCAUGGGUUUUAUUGUAUUCUAGGUAUGUCAUUUAUGAAAUAGAAUGCAGUGUCAUGAAUCUUUUAUUGAUGAGAUUGUAAAUACAUGUUUGUUUGAGAUGUUUAAUUUGUGCAUGUUAUGUUAUUUGGUAAUUAUGCACACUAGGUGUUUGAGGAAAUGUCUGUGAAUGAAUUUUGGUGUUUUUGCUCAAUGAGAGUGAAGUGGACCUUGAUGUGCUAGCGAGGGCUGACCUUCUCAAGUUCUUGAGCAAGGAAUGUGAGGAAAGAGAUGCUACACACUGCAAACAGAUGCGCAUUAAAGAUGAAACCUUAAGAAAUACGGAAUUCUGUCCAGAUUUUCAGUCAAAUUUGACAGCAAAUUGCGUGCAGCUCAGAGUGAUCCAGGAAACUUGCCUUAUAUCAACGGAAAGGUAGAAGAGUCUAUUUUCCAGAACUUUUCACGGAUCGUUCAUAGCUAUUUUUUAGAGGAAGUUAUGGCUGUCAGAAGGAGGGAAGGUCAUUCUGCCGAAAAUUGGAAAAAGAGAAAAGUCUACCAAGCAAGUGUUCAUAUAACUGGCAAUGUAGCCGUUAAUUGUGUAUGUAACUAUCCAAGUAACUAUUGAAAGCCAUGUAGCAAUGUAGCCGUUAAAUGUGUAUGUAACUAUCCAAGUAACUAUUGAAAGCCAUGUAACUAGUCAUAUAACUAGCAACAUAACUACCAUUUAUGUAAUUAAUGUAGUUAAUGUAGUUACAUGUGUAGUUUUGUAUGUAGCUUCUUAUAUAGGAUGUAUGUAACUACCCAAGUAACUAUAAAUCUGUAGUUACAUGGAUGGUUACAUAGCUUAAUGUAGUUACAUGAGUAGUUAUAGAUAUGUAUAUACUUACGUAGAUUACAAUCUGGAAAACGUAAUAAAGAAAUAAGAGUGUAAUCUGGCUUGUAACUACGAUGUUAUUACUCAAUUAAGAGUGUAAUCUGGAAAACAUAAUAAAGAAAUAAGACAUUUUCACCUUCAUUCAUAUGAUUUCAGUGGAUACUUAAUACAAUAACAAUAGUUUACCAAACCAAAAAAGAAAGUACAUCCUAUACUAAAGAGAUGUUGACCCCACUUUCUCUGCAUCAUAUCAAAACAACCUAGAGCAACAUUCUAUUUGAUUUAAGCUCCAUCUUGCUGAUUUUGUCAAACCUCUUUGUUUAAGUAAAGCUGCAACAACAUGGCUGACAAGUACAAUGAGAUUUGUGAAUCAGUUAUAGCAUCAUGAUGACAAGUUACUGAAGAAGUUCCAUAAGUGUGCUUAACUACAUAAGCUUCAUUGUCAAAGCCUUCAGAUUCUUAUGGAGUGAACCUAGCUUUAUGGAAUGAACCCAUUUCAGAAUACCAUAAAAAUCAAAUCCUUCUGUUCUUCAGUUUAAUGGGGUGAACCCAGCUUCAUAAUGCCAUCAGAAUCAAAGUAAAGCUAGAAACCAUCAAAAAAUGAAACUGAUCAACAAGCUUACAAAUGCAUUGAUCAUUAUCACUAAGCAAGAUUAUAGAGAUAUAAUGCUUCUAUAAGCAAGACUAUUACAAAUGCAAAUUACUUAAAGCAUUAAGAAAUGCCGAUGGUGAGUCUUGUAUCAAUGCCACUCUCUAUCUAGAAAAAAAAAGAAUUAAAUUCAGUUUACCCCCUUGUGGUUUGGGGGUGACUUCAUGUUAGUCCCUACACUUUUAUUUUCCCCUUGUGGUUUGGGGGUGACUUCAUGUUAGUCCCUACACUUUUAUUUUCAUCAGUUUACCCCUUGAACUCUUCAAUUUUUGUUUGCCGUGCCCAAAUUCUCAUAUUCCGUUUGAAUUGACCUUUAAUUAUCAGCAGUUAAGGUCCGAUUUGGACAUAUAAGGUCCGAUUUGCCCAAAUUCUAGAUACUGGCCUCACAGUUAAGGUUAAAAUUAUCAGCAGUUAAAGUCCGAUUUGGACAGAAUAUAGGACAUUUGGUCACGCUUGAGGAAAAUUCAAAAGUUUGAGGGGUAAACUGAUGAAAUUGAAAGUAUAAGGAUUAACAUGAAGUUACUCCCAAACCUCAUGGGGGUAAACUGAAUUUAAUUAAAAAAAAACAAUACCUUGGAGAACUUUUUAUCACGAUCAUAAUCAAGUCCAGGAGGGGCAUUCUGUAUGGUCAUGAGGAGAAUCUAAGAGAACAAACAAAGAGUUAGGCAUGCCAAGAUUUUCAACGAAGAACUACCAUAUAUACAUUUAUUUACAUUUUAGUUAAACCUUUUCCGAUAGAAUUACCUUUAUGGGAGGAUAUUUUGAAAAUGGUGUAUGAUCGACCAUGUGCCAACUCCAAUGUUGUUAUACCAAAUGACCAAAUGUCGGCCCUGUACCAAAAAAAAAAAAAAACACCUAAGCAUAGAACUUCCCCUUAUUUAUCAUACAAAACAAAUAAAAAACCAAUCUUGCUCCACAUGGUAAUGAAGAUAACUUAUCAAACAGAUGAGACAGUGAAUGCUUGCAAAUAAAAAAGUAAUAAGACUCUAUGAUGCAUUGAUAUAUAUAUAUAUAUACACUAGGGAGCUCUUCUAGUGAGGACUCAUCAGUUGAGGACUCUUAAGUUGAGAACUUUUCGGUUUAUGGUUUAAAAAACCCAUUUUUCGAUCACAUUUUGACAUCUUAUCUGUUCAGUUUUUAGGUUUAUAUGAGUAGAUCAUUUUUACAAAUUUUCAACCAAAUUGGUGUUCGUUAAGAUAACAAACUAGAUCAAAUUAAUGGACGAACCAAAUCUGUCAAAUAUGAACCGUUCAAGUUCAUAAUUGAUAAAUCACACUUAUGAAUGCCUUAACAAUUUUCAAUAUAUUUGAAAAUUUAGAGAAAUGAUCUACUCAUAAAUACCUAUAAACUGAACGGUCAAGAUGUGGAUAUAAGAUCGAAAGGUGGGAUAAGCCGAAAAGUCCUCAACAAGUCUUUAACUUAAAGGUCCUCAUUAGAAGGGCUUCCAUAUACACUAUAGGUUAGUAACCUACAAGCCUAUAACCACAUCUGACAGAGGUGAAAUCCAUUUCUUAGAACUUGUUUUAGUUACCACAUGAAAUAUAAACUCACUUGGAAUUGUAUCCACUUCCUGGUUGCAGUACCUCUGGUGCCAUCUUGGAACGCAAAAAGGUCUUAAAAUCUCAUAUACAUAGAUAAGAGAGCAAUUAGCAUAAUAUGUGGCAACAAAUAGGAAUUAAGUAAAACUUUGGUGACUUUAUACUUACCAGCAAGGUGUUCCUACAAAACUAUUUCUUGACCUUUAUCUAUCAGAUGCAUCAAACAUGCAUGCCGAAACACCAAAGUCCGCAAGCUUCACCAUCCCAUUAGUAUCGAGUAAUAUAUUUCUAGCUUGCAUCAAAAACAAAAAAAACAAACAAUUACAUUAGAAUCAAUUUGAAAACAAAAAAGGUACGGAAGUUUAUUUAGAAGUGAAUUACAGACCUUAACAUCUCGAUGAAUAUGACCCUGUUUGUGAAGGUAAACUAAAGCCUUAAGUGUUUCCUUUAAAUUGGAACCAAUUGCAGCCUCCUUAAACCCAUCCAGAUACGCAAUUUUCAUGAGAUGCAGACAAGAACCCUACGCCAUAAACAGCAUGAUCACCAACGAAAUUGAGAAAGAAUUAAGAGAACUUUGACACUGCCAACCAUAGAUGCCUUGGGAUAAUCAUGUUUGUGUUGUCUCAAUUUCAAGUCUAAUACUCUACAUAGAAACCCAACGAAAUUGAGAAAGAAAUAAGAGAAGUUUGACUCUGCCAACCAUAGAUGCCUUAGGAUAAUCAUGUUUGUGUUGUCUCAAGCUACAAUUGUGGCCAACUCAAACAAUUAUACCAUAAACCUGUCAAAAAAUUUGGGGAAAAUCUAGAAAAAAAAAACCCUAAAAAUCCAAAGGAAAAUGGUGAGUGAGUACGUACCUUCUUCGGAUCUCCGAGUCGGGUCCAUGUUCUUAACUCCUUGUGGAUUCAAGANNNNNNNNNNNNNNNNNNNNUUUGGAUGCGAGAGAGAGAGAGAGAGAGAGAGAGACGAAACUCAGAAUGAAUAAAAAAACAUGUGAUAUUAGAGAGAAGGGUAUAAUGGUCAUGCAAAAAGUGUGAAAAUACACCUUUUUAUCAUUUCAAAUGUUAUGAGGUGACCAUUUCAUCAUAUGGAACAUUUGAAGACUAUUUUAUCAUUUUUUCUCAUUUGUACAUUUAAAUGGUAGUUUAGUGUUAUACUUGAUAAAAUGGUAAAGGUUUAUGCGGCGGCAAGAUGGGUGGAAGAAAGCUUAGAUCGCGACGCGUUAUACUUGGGUUUGCUAGCAGACAAAGUAAUCGGUCUGAUCUAAGUAGAUCAGACGGGUUAAUCUUAUAUCAGAUCUAUUAUCUGGCUUAUGGGGGUUCUCAUCUCAGAUCUGGGGAGAUUGAGGGUAGGUGAUAGUGGUGGUGCUACUACUACCAGAAGAAAGGCUUUAGCUGACGAAAAUAAAAAAACCAGGCCGACGAAUUAUUUUUUCGUCGGCUAACGUGGACUUUAGCCGACGAAAUUUUCUUUCGUCGUCUGAAUAAUUUUUUUCGUCGGCUAUAGUCCGUGAACUUUAGCCGACGAAAUUUUUAAAAGUUUAGCCGACGAAAAAUAUAAUUUCGUCGGCUAAAGUGCCUUAUAUUUGCAUAUAUAGACAACAACUCAUCUGGGAAAAAAAAAUAUACAUAGAACCUUCAAACGCAAAAAAGUCGUGAAAUAAGAUAUGACCAGAAUGGUGAAAUACGUCUACGGUUGAAAAAUCAUGGUAUUCCGGUAAAGUCUCGGUGCCGAUAGUUGCGGUCAAUGCAAUUUACCCUUAUUAUUUAUUAUGCUAUAGAUUUGGCGUUCGGUGUCCGAUUGACUAUUAUGAUACCUUUUCGGAAGCGUAACGGCCCUACGAGUCAAACUCAUCACUAUGCCAUGGCAUAUGGGCCUUUUUGGCCAUCCGAGUUCGUUUAGGGCUUCAAAAUGCAGUUUUCUUAUUUCCAAUUAGAGUCGACCGUUUCGAUCGAGCCCUUAACGUUGUCAAAUCCAGUUGAAUUUUUUACCAUAGACAUAUUUUGUCAUAAUGAUCAUAUCUGACGGUCGAAUUUUGGUUUGUAAAUUUUAGUCAUCGGAAUCACGUGUCUACUAUUUACCGUUAUUAUUCCCUAUGGGGAGCCCUAUCGUCGGAAGGUAAAUGUCUCAAAAUUUUUAUAUGGGCAGUUGCGUCUCAUCUACGUGAGAGUUUUUUGUGUGGAAGGUUUGACCACACUACGUAAUAUAGAGGGAGAUAUGAGCGUUUUCGUGUGAUAAGUGACGAUGGAUUAGGGUUGACCGUUUCGAUCGAACCCUUAACGUUGUCGGAUCCAGUUGAAUUUUUUACCAUAGACAUCUUUCGUCAUAAUGAUCAUAUCUGACGGUUGAAUUUUGGUUUGUGAAUUUUAGUCAUCUGAAUCACAACGUGUCUACUAAUGUUGUAUAACUUAUUUAGUAGGUUAUACAACUUUGUGAACCAACUCUACAUAGGAAGCAAAAUUAUCAAAAAUCUCGUGAAAUAAGAUGUGUUCAUAAUGGUGAAAUACGGCUAUGGUUCAAAAAUCACAUAAAUCGGGUAACGUCUCGGUGCCGAUAGUAGCGGCCAAUCCUAUUUACCGUUAUUGUUCCCUAUGGGUAGCCCUAUCGUCGGAAGGUAAAUGUCUCAAAAUAUUUAUAUAGGCGGUUGCGUCUCAUCUACGUGAAAGUUUUUCGUGUGGAAGGUUUGACCAAACUACGUAAUAUAGAGGGAGAUAUGAGCGUUUUCGUGAAUUUAUAGACUUUAGCCGACGAGAUAUUAAAAAAGUCGUCGGUUAAGGUCAAAAUUUUUUUGGCAAUAAACCAAAUUUGGAGGAAAAUUUUCAAAGGAUUUUAGCAGACAAAAAUAUAUGAAAAGUCGUCGGCUAAAGUCGAAAAAAAAUUUGGCGGCAAACCAAAUUUGGGGGAAAAUUUUCAAAAUUUUCAAAGGAGUUUAGCUGACGAAAAUAAAGAAUUUCGUCGGGUAAAGUUCUUUAUAUAGGAGUUUUACCGGAGGUGAAUGGUAAGUAGUCUGCUCCAGCGCCUACCCAGCUCCUCCCUCAAGAAGAGGUUAGUUUUCUUGAGGUUAAAGUUUUGUGCUUAAUUUUUUGAGUUUUGAACAUUGGGUUUUGGAAAGUUGUGAGUUUUUGGUGUGGGGUUUGAGUGUGAUUGAAUGCUGAUGUUGAUGCAGGCUGAAGUUUUUGGGUCUGUUAAUGUUGAUGAAGAUAACCGGCCGGAGUUUCAGUUGAAGAGAUAUGAUUACUUUGGUUAUAGUGAGGACUUGGGAACUUUUCUUUGAGUGCAAGAAAGUGGGGUGGUGUGAAGUUUUUGGCUUAUGAUUCAUUGAGAAUGGUUUGGUUUGGAUUCUUGGAUAAGUUGAGUUUGAUUAGUACUACAUUCCCCUAGAAUUUGGUAGCUCGAUUCAGUGCGUGUGAGGAGAAUCGAAGAUUUGAAGUUUUUAGGGUUUAAAAUUGGGGAUUUUUAUAUUUUGAUUCAAUUGACAUGUUUAGGCUUAGAAUUGGGCUUCGACUUCUUCUAGAAAGUUGUUCGAAAUGUUGAGAGGAAGAUUUUGUCAAAUUUUGGUGGUGAUUGGAGGUGGCCGAAAUUUUCUGCAGUUUUUUUUUCAAAAACCAGCAACUUUAGCCGACAAUAUUUAAAUACUAUAUUCGUCGGCUAUAGUAUUUUUUAAUUUUUUUUAUAAGGUUUAGCCGACGAAUUAUGGUAUGUUUCGUCGGCUAUAGUUAUUUUUUUAAUUUUUUAUUACACACUUUAGCCGACGAAUAUCUUAAUUGUUUCGUCGGCUAAAGUCUAGGAAAAAAACCGGUGACAUGUUUUUCAUCGGCUAAACUGUGGGACUAUAGCCGAUGACGUCUUCUUUUUCAUCGGCUAAAAUCAUCGCCGACGACCUUUUCCCAACGAAAUCUUAGCCGACGAAUUAAGCUAACAGGCCGACAAAACUUUUUCGUCCGCUAAGGUGCUUGUCCUGGUAGUGGGCCUAGCGGGCCUUCUUCAAAACCAUGGACGGAAGCUGGGCCUUUGUUUUGGAUUUUGGCCCAUUUUGGGCUGUGUUGGUCUAUAUAUGGGUCAAUGUAUAUUUUUUUUGCUUGUCUUUUUGCUUUGAUUUUUGGUUUUGGCUAUUUACUGUUUUCAAUAAGUAGAGGUGGGUUUUGUCCCGGUUUCAACACCUUGAGUGUCAUGUCUGGCUUAGGACGGCAAUGAGUUCCUUGCAUUGUCAAAUGGUCGUUACCUCCUAGUGGCAGGAUGAGACCAAGUGUCACCGGAAUUUGGUUCUGGUGGAAACAUAACGGAAAAAGUGUUCUUAUUAGAAUUCAAUGGCUUCGUGGAAGCGUUAAAUUUCCGGUAUGUCGCCAAAGUUGUAAAGCUAACGAAGUAGCCAAAUAUGCACUCCUUGCUAAUUGGUGCGUAGAAUACAUGUUUUGUUAUAACUUGGGGUCUAGGCAAUAUGUUCCCCCCUUGUAUUCUUUGGUUUCAUCAAUGGUUAUGGCUUAAGGGUGGUCGUUACGUUCUACUUAAAAAAAAAUAAAAAUAAAAAAAUAAAUAAAUAAAAACUUUAUUCGAAGUUAUACUUCCUUUGUACUCCAACUUAUUGAAAGUUAUAAUUCAAGAAUCUUCAUUUAAAGUCAUUUUGGUAACAAAUUAAUAACUUUACAAUCUUACAGUGAUUAGACCGAAACCCUCUCUAGGGUUUUGAGAGUAAGGCGGCGGUAGCGCAUAUGCUUCGCUCCUAGCCAUUAGGGACGUCUCAGCGUGGUGAGAUUCAAGAUAUAGGGACGGGCUUCUUGUUUCUCAUCCCAGUGAUGCACGCGGCAGAGGCUCACAUAUGUUUGCUAUUCAUUUUUUGGUUCAGGUUCCAAGAAAGGGCAAAGGCGGGCUAUGGUGACGUUAUUUCUCCCGUCGUCAACUUUUGUGCAGAGGAGAUCGAGUUUUCAUGUAGAAGGAGGAGGAGUUGAUCUUGCUUCUCAGAGGCGGCUCAACCAGUUAGAGGAUAUGGGGUCGUGUAUGGGUAGGCCGACAAACUGAGGCUGGCGCGGUACCAGUUCUGAUGGUUUUGCUAGGGCUCCGAUAAGGAUUGGCCCAAUUCAUGGCUUGAGUGUAGUGGGUGUGGCUUGGGCUUCGUGAGCCUUUCCACUCUCCCUCCUCAAUCCAACUUAGGUGAGUUUCUUUGCUCUGGGCUUAGGUGACUCUUUUGGGGCUGCAGAAGAUCCCUACACAACCGCAUUGAAGAGUUUACCCCCUUUUUUAAUGGAAAGGUACACCGAAAUGGUCUUAAGCCUCAAUUCAUUGAGCUAGGGUACUUCGGUUGGUUAUGUAGGUUAUUGCUUUCUAGGCCAAAAUAAAGUCCUCUUAUGGACAGUAGUUUUGAAGUUAGUAUUUCUUUGUAGCUUUUGUAGGCUCUUCGAGUUAUAUCAGAGCUAUGCUCCCGGUUCACCAACUGUUUGACUUGUAUUGGAGUUUAACUUCCGCUCGUCCUAUUGGUCAAUUUAAUAUAUGAGUUUUACGCCCCCGGAGUAACAUCCAUUUCCAUAAAAACUUAAAAAAAAAAAUAAUAAAAUCAUUUUUUUUUUUAUUUAGGGUGGUGCUAUUAACACACCACAUAUAUGAUGAGAGCCAAUUAUUGAACAAGUUCAAGUGACAAACUUGUAAAUAAAAUUGAAAUGUGUGGAUAAACACAUAGAUGUGGUAUGUUAAUAACAAAAAUAACAAAAACGAGUGUGUUAAUAAUAUUACCUUUUAUUUAAUCAAUAAUAUAAAUCAAACUGUAAUUCAAAUAGAGAGUGCUAGUGUAAAGGGUAUUUCUAAAGUGGCUAGCCAAAAUGACUUUUUAGUUAUUUUGCCUAAAAUUUGACUACAAAAUAGCUAGCAUUACUCAAGAUGCUCUUAAUCAUUUAAGCAUUUCUAAUAAACUUUUUGGGUCAUAAACUUUAUGUGCAUCAUCUCAUCCUCCUCUCUCUCUCUAAAAAACCCUAGAGAAUAACCUUGUCGCCUCCCUUCUUCUUACCUAUCCAGCUGCACCGCGCCGCCGGCCAUGACCUCUGUCCUAGUCGGCCCAUGGCGGGUGUGGCUGGAUGUGUGGUUUCUGGUAGAGAUGGUCCUCGGGUUGGAAGCGUUGGCUUAAAAGGCAAUGUCUCUCAAUUGCAGGCUAUGGCUGUUUCAUGGAGGUGGGCUGGGAUCGGAGAGGGAAGAGGAUCUUGCGGUGUUAAGCGGCGUAGCGAUCGGAUGACCGAUUUUGUUUGCCGGCGACUGACGAUGGCUUGGUGCGGUUGAUGGUGCUCUGAGGUUUGAUCCAAGUCCAAGUGUAGAUCUGCAUCAUGGUUGGUGGUAGGGGGACUAAUACAAUCAGAGUUGGCCGCCGCUGGUCAGACGGCUACGAAGGCGCUUUGGUAGGAUUUUGCCGAUGAUGGGGUAAAGGGAUGAAGCAGCUUCAGGUUUGGGCUGAGAGAUUUGGUUGCCAUUUGGGUUUGACCAAUUGCGCAUGUUUUAAGGAAAUAAGCCCAAUGAGGGCAGUUAUGUUUUUUACAAGUUACUUUAUGUUUUUUGUCAUUGAAAUACCAUUUUGUAAUGGUUGAGGGAGGGCUAUACCGGUUCUCUAUUUUGGUUUUGCUUUUUUAUUUUUUAGCAAUAGUGGAUACUGGUGGGCUAUGUCCUAGGGUAAGCACACGCAACGUGCCAUGUUUGUCCUACUGAGGCGGAGAGUUAUUUGUUUCGUCAAAUAGUCGCAACCUCCUAGUUGUAAGAUGAAACUUGGGGUCACUGGUUAUUCCCAGUGACAUCAUAGCCGGAAAGCUGAUAGAUAUUGUAAUUUAUGGCUCUGCAUGAACGGUAUUUUUCUAGUAUGUCGCCAAAAUUGUAAAGCAAAUGGAGUAGCUAAUGAUGCACUCUUUGCAAAAUGGUGUUUGUUAGAAUGCAUAAAUUUUAUAGAUAUGUCUAAUAUUAAUUUAGGGUGUUCUUACAGUAUAGGGUGUUCUUACAGUAUAGGGUUUAGACAUAAAUUGUAUUCUAAGGUUUCAUUAAUGGUUAUCGUGUGAGGACUGCUGUUUAGUUCUUGUAUUAAAAGAAAAUGCUCUUAAUCAGUUAAGAAUAUGGCUGAGCCACAUCUACACGACAUUAGUCACUGUAGCAUCGUCAUUGAUCUAUUUUAUGAAUUAUGAUUGACUUUGUAAUAAAAUAAAGGAACACUCGUUCAUCAUCGUUUUAUUAGUAACAAUUUUCUUCCAACCACAAUAUCUAAGGUUUUGUAACGUACAUGCAUGAUCCAUGGUAAUGAAGAAUUGAACCGUUACAAACUCAUCUAGCAAUUUGCUAACAGUUCAGUUUUAAUAUCCAGUAACAACAACUAAUAUAUUUUUUUUUUGAGAAUGUAUGAAAAAUAUAUGUAUGAAAUACAUGGUGUUUAUAUAGUGUUUCAGUGUGUAUCUAUAUAUAUAUAUAGAGNNNNNNNNNNNNNNNNNNNNNNNNNNNNNNNNNNNNNNNNNNNNNNNNNNNNNNNNNNNNNNNNNNNNNNNNNNNNNNNNNNNNNNNNNNNNNNNNNNNNNNNNNNNNNNNNNNNNNNNNNNNNNNNNNNNNNNNNNNNNNNNNNNNNNNNNNNNNNNNNNNNNNNNNNNNNNNNNNNNNNNNNNNNNNNNNNNNNNNNNNNNNNNNNNNNNNNNNNNNNNNNNNNNNNNNNNNNNNNNNNNNNNNNNNNNNNNNNNNNNNNNNNNNNNNNNNNNNNNNNNNNNNNNNNNNNNNNNNNNNNNNNNNNNNNNNNNNNNNNNNNNNNNNNNNNNNNNNNNNNNNNNNNNNNNNNNNNNNNNNNNNNNNNNNNNNNNNNNNNNNNNNNNNNNNNNNNNNNNNNNNNNNNNGAAGUUUUGGGUUUGAGGUUGCUGCCUAGACCUUCAAAUCGAUCUUGCGGCAGGAAAGUAGUCGGGGAGUGCCUCUGGUGUCCGCUCGGGUUGAGGCGCGCCAUCGUCGGAGCCGUCCGGUGGAGAACGGAGAGACGUCCGCACUUUAAGCCGAGUGCGGAUGUCCGCACUAGAACGGGUAUAUAUAUAUAUAUAGUUCACUUCCAGAACGGUGUCCCGCUUUGAAAUUAAAGUGUGGACCUUCUUAUUUCACUCACUUUCAGGUCGCAUUUCUAUAUAUACAGUUCCCUUCCAGAGCGAUGUCCCACUUUGAAAUUAAUGUGUGGACCUCCUUAUUUCACUCACUUUCAGGUCGCAUUUCCACAUCUCAAUCGUACAAUGUCUAGAACACAGUGUGUAGAUCAUUUCUGUAAAGUUUCAUCCAAUUUGAAGAUCAUUUGAGCUUCCGUAAUCAUAACGAACGGAUCUGUUUGGACAAUUUUUGUUCUGUUGAUUUAUUUAAUCUAAUUCGGUACCCAAAUGAUCUUCAAAUUGGAUGAAACUUUGCAGGAAUAAUCUACACACUGUAUUCUAGACAUUGUACGGUUGAGAUGUGGAAAUGCGACCUGAAAAUGAGCAAAACGAGGAGGUCCACACUUUAAUUUCAAAGCGAGACACUGCUCUGAAAGGGAACAAUAUAUAUAUAUAUAUAUAUAUACAUCAAUUUUACAUUCUAUUUUACAUUAUCAUACUUUUUCAAAUACAUGAUCCAAAGAUUAAAACAUCUUUAUUUAAUCAAUUCCGUGUUCUUGAUUGUUUACCACACAACCCAACCAAAAUUACUGCCCAAAUAUCUCUUCUGUUUUCAAUCAAAAAAUAAAAAAUAUCUCUCCUGUUAUUAAUGUCUUUCAUUAUAGUAAUUAUUCUGUAAUUUUGGACUACCGGCCACCUUUUGGGACCAUAAUAUUCCAUAGAAAUUCACUCAAAUUUGCACUUGAAUUUUGAUCCGUAACUAUGUUAUAAUUCUCCCUCGCUCUCAUAUCGUAGGUAGGAGUUUCUGAUCUAUGAUAUGUAAAAUAAGAUUUAUGACAUUUCCUAAACUUCUUAGUUCUUACGUACUCGAUUUUCAUAGUCCUGGUACAGGUGGCAACGUGUGACAAAUCUUAAUUUGUUCUAAGUAGGGCAAAGAGUAUCGGGUGAGAAUGUCAAGCAAAUAAUGACUCGACGGGCCGGAGCACAGGGAAGAAAGAACACUGCAUACACACGCUGCCUCGACUUCUAACGCGUCAGUUUUCUUUACUCACCCCCUGUAUUUCGCAGCAGACCAAUUCCUCCUUUCCCACGUACUCUCCCUCGCUCUCUAUAAAACCCUCACUUCAUCUCCUUCGCACUUCAUUCUUCUUCACCCGUUCAAUUCACUCAGCUGCGUUAUUCUGUACUCUCUUUCCUUCCCUCCAGCUUCCAUGUCUGAGAAACAAGCCCACUUGAAUGGAGCCUAUUACGGCCCAUCAAUCCCCCCGACGAAACACUACAACCGCCCCGGCCGCGGCGGAGGUCCUCUCGGCUGCUGCUGCAGCUGCCUCUUCGGUCUCAACUUUAAGCUUAUCUUCGCUGCAGUCGUCUUCAUGGGAUUAGCCUUCCUCGCCUUUUGGCUCAUAGUCCGCCCCACCAGAGUCAAGUUCCACGUAACAGAUGCCACGCUCACACAGUUCAACUUCUCCACCGAUAACAACCUGCACUACAAUCUCGCUCUCAAGCUCACCAUCCGAAACCCCAACAAGAAGAUCGGCGUCUACUAUGAUCGCAUUGAAGCCCGUGCUCUUUACGAGGGCCAGAGGUUCAGUACGGUUACUCUGACCCCAUUUUACCAAGGCUACAAAACCACAAACGUUUUGAACCCGGUGUUUCAGGGACAGCAAUUGAUUGUUGGAUCUGACUUGCUUGAGGAGUUUAAUGAACAGAAGAGUGCUGGGGUUUACGAGAUUGAGAUGAAGCUUUAUCUGAGGAUUCGGUUCAAGUUGGGUAGAAUCAAGACCGGAAAGUUCAAGCCUAGAAUUGAAUGUGACUUGAAGGUUCCUUUGAAACAGAAUGGGAAUUCACUAGGUGCUUUUCAGACUGAGAAAUGUUCAAUUGAUUAUUUCAAUUAACAAUUUCUGGUAGUGUUAUGCCAGAGCAGGGGACUUCAGUUUUGUUUUGUUCAGAUGCCUUAGGGUUUCUGUACUUGUGACACAUGAGAGUCCUAUAUAUAGUGGUCUUGAUUCUUUUAUUUCCUCUAACGUCUAUUUAAUUAAUUCAUUAGAUUCAUUUUUCAUGGUUCACUAGGAAGAGGACUGACUUCGCUUUUCUAUAAUGUAGAGCAGAACCCGAUUUUCUUUAGGGAAAAUGUCCAAAUACCUAAAACCAAGGUUUGUAAAGCCCAGUUCAAUGAAAAAUAGUUCCCUUAACCCAUUCCAAUGUUUCUUACGAAAAAUACGUUUGUACCCCUACCUAAUUAUCUUUCUCUCUUCUCCCUCACCUCUCAUUCCGAUCUGCUCUCCUUUCUCUCUCUUCUCUCUUCUUCUCUCCUCACCAUCAUCGCUGCUCUCUCUCACCAUCAUCACCGCCCUCCUCUUUCUCUCUCCUUCUCUCUCUCAUCGAUGUUUCUCCCUUCACCGGAUAGAUCCUCAAGUCAUUCAUCGUCACCGCCCGAUCAUACCGCCACAUCAAGGACGAGGACGACGCACCGGCGAGGAGCCCGACGAGGAUCAUGGGGUCGAGCCAUCUCUGGGAUCUCGAGCUACUGGAGGAGGAUUGCAACCCCGGCCAAGCUAGGGAUUUGAAGGUAGGAUAUGAUCCUUCUUUGAUAUUGUUGGUAAAUUAUGGUUGUUGUUGGUCUGGAGGUUAAAUUGGUGUUGUGGUUGGAGAAGGUGAGAAGGUGAGAAGAGUAGUGUACAAGGAGAAAUACUCAUGGAGGGAGUAUUUCAGAUCUAUGGUUAAGCAUUGUAAUGCUUUCUUCACAUAAUCCUUUGUUGGGUACAAGGAGAAAUACUCAUGGAGGGAGGAGAAAGAUGGAGGUUAAGCGAAUGAUGCAUCAUACAUGAAAGAGAAUAUGAGAUGAUGCAGACUAUGGUACUGUAUGUGAUAAACUGAUAAUUAUUGAUUGUGAUAGAUGAGCAAAUGGUUUAGUUUAUAUUUGGGUUAUGACUUGUCUUUGUAUUGGAUCUAUACUUUGUUUGUAUGUGUUUGACUGAUUAUUAGGGUCAUUAAGAGUUACUGGGAGUUAGUUAAUUUUUUUUUUAAGGUUUUCUUUUUUUGUUUGGAAAUCACCUUCUACUUAUUCUUCUUCUUCUAUCUUCUUUCUUCUUUUGUGUUUUUAUUGAUUAUUGGGGUAAUAACCCGAUUAUUAGGGGUCAGUAACUAAUUAUUGGGGAUCAGUAACCAAGUUAUUGGGGGUAGUAACCCGAUUAUUGGGGGUCAGUAACUGAUUACUGGGUUUCAGUAACUGAAAACUAAGUGAUUACUGGGUGUCAGUAACUAAAAACUAAAAGUUAUUGAGGGUCAGUAACUGGUUACUAGGUGUCAGUAAUUAAUCAAUAACUGGUUACUGGGGGUUAGUAACUGGUUACUGGGUGUCAGUAAUUAAUCAAUAACUGGUUACUAGGGGUUAGUAACUGGUUAUUAUAGGUCAUUAACUGGUCAGUAACUGGUUAUUGGGGGUCAGUAACUGGUUACAGGGGAAGAUCCGGUGACCAGAAUCAGGCGGUCGGGGAAAUUCCGGUGACCGGAAUCUGACGGUCGGGGAAAUUCUGGUGACCGGAAUCCGACGGUCGGUGACCGGAGUCCGGCAGCCGGUGACCGGAGUCCGAGGUUCCGGCCAAGUCUUUUCAUGUUGAAGAGGUGGGGGCAAAAUAGUCUUAAAAUAAUAUGGUUUGUUAAGACUUUAGUAAAGAUUUGUGCAUUUGGGCAUAAAAAUGGUUACCUUAUAUUGGAAUAGGCUAAUGCAAAAGAUAAUCAUUGGAAUGGGAAAUAAGGAGUUUCAAUUAGUACUAAAUGGGCAUUUUCCCUUUUCUUUAUAUUUUCUAAUUUCAGUCCGAAUAUCGUUUUAAUGUUAAUGGAUGUAAAUGAUAUAAUUGAUCAAAUCUGAGCACCCAAUGAACCAAUUAAUUUGCAAUAGGUAAAGAGUUACAAACCCCUAUAAUGUUUUUCAUUUGUAACGUCUCACUAUCGAUCUCCUUCAAAAAAAACAGAAAAAAAAAAAAAAAAAAAAAAAAAAACAAAUCUCAACAUCUCCGCUGUAAUAAAACUCUCCAUAUUCAAUAUUGUCAUGACCCAUAAGGUAAAUUUGUAACCAAAUUUAGCUAGAAAAAUGGGACUCUCUAUUGGAUGUUCUUUUAGCUUAGCAAAGUCUCCCACCAUAAGUUAUAUCCCUAUCAUAAUGUGGUGGAGACUGUGAUGGUGGCAGAGACUACGUCGGCGGAAGGUAGGCGACGGUUGACUGUGAGGGAGACAGGGUCGGCCUGACGUAGCAUGGCGCCAAUGAUUGAUAAAGACGGGUCUGAAAAGUUGGGUGAUUUCCUGGCUGAAACCCUAACGGCGCUUGGGGCUAUCGAAACAGUCACACUCCAUCUAGGAUUUUCGACAUGAAACCUUAGUUUUGAACUAGGGUUGACCGCUAAAGACUGGGUGGGUUGCAGGGGCGGAGGAUAGUACAAGGGUAUAUGUGUUGUAGCCCAGAUUAACUUUUUUUUCCUUUUUAGAUUAACUAGGGUUAAUUAUCCUAAAUUGCACAUUUGUAUCAACCUUAGCCCAGCCAAAUAUUCUGGCAUCCAAACAACCGUGUCAUUUUUAGAAGAGAAUUCUAAACUUGAUUGACUUCAUCAUGUAAUACACAUUAACCAUAAAAGUCUAAUUGCAAAUCUCACUAGAAAUUGAAAAUAAAGCCCAUUAAAAAUCAUAAAUAAAGUGUUUGAUUAUCUUUCAUUUCUCUUCAACCUAGUUUUUCUUUUUCUUCCUUAAAGUAGGCAACCUAUUUAACUCAAUCAAUAUUUAAAGUGUAUCUACAACUAAACUAUGAGCCGUCAACUCUCAUUCAACAAUUUUCUAGAGGUAUAUUCAUAAUUUCAUAUGUUUAAGAGUUUUUAUUAAAUGAAAGUUUAGCCCAGUCGAUUUUGAAAUCCUAGUUCCGUCUGGCAGGUUGCCUAGGCUGGCAGGGUCUGUUUUGGGAGCUGAGGUUACUGGGUUUAGUAGGCAGUGGGACUAGGGUGGUUGUGUUGCUUGGGCUACCACUCGUGCAAAAUAUGGACUCAGGGUUUGAUCUUCAAGGUCCAAGGUUGGCAUGCUAUGACACGGAUGUGAUAGAGGUGAUUUCAUCUUAUGGAAAAGUCAUAUCUUUUCUUGAAGAAUCUCUUUGGAUAGAGAAACCGAUCAAAACCUUGAAACAUAAAGGUAUGUCAUUGGGAAGCAAGUAUACGAAGCACCAGAAGAAGUUUAAUUAAGCCUCUGAAAUUGGUUAUUCCGUGUCAUCUGGCAAAUCCCGAGGUUUGAUAGGGGAGAGGCAAGCCCUAAUUAUAAGGGCAAGGAGAUCUACUAAAAAACAAAGCAAGGAGGUACCUUAAUUUAUUUGUUUUUUUACCUAGACUUAUGUUCGAAAAUUAUACUAUUUAUUUCUCUGUAGUAUUUAGUUGAACACCAAUUGCUAUCUUUAGGCGACUAAUAUUAUCAUUACAUGGGAGUUAGAUAGGUAUGGUUAGAAGUCAUUUGUAUUAGGUUUUGAUUUGUGCUUAUUUGUAAUGAGGGGUAGCUAUCAUUUGUAAGCUUGUUACCACAAAUUGAGACAAGCCAUCGACUGAUACAUGAGUCUUCUCGCUAAGGAUAUCUUUCAGUCAACAAAAAAAAAAAAAUUACAGAUACCAGAUGAGAUAUACGUAAUAAAUCAUCGGUCUUAUCAUAUGUGGCCCGAAUUUGGUCUUCUGCUUGGAGUUGGGGACUCGGGUUGACUGAUGAUAGCAAAGGUUACGAGAUGGGCUUGAAGGUACGUAGGAUGGAGGUGGCGGCGUUGCCUGUGCAAUAGUUCUAUCGAGCUAGAGUCAUCGAUUGGGGCUUCCGAACCCUAACUCAGUUGUGGGCUUGGCUUCGACCUCGGGUCUAAGAUAUUUAAUUUUCUUUCUUAACUUUGUAGUUAGUUUUUUGCUUAUUUGAUAGUAUUUGAAUUAAAAAUCCUACCAUUACUUAGUACGACAAUGUGGGGAACGUUGUUCCUGUCUAUUCAUCCUGACUGCCUUGUCUACCCUAGGUUGGCGGGUCUAAGACAUUUAAUUUUCUUUCUUAACUUUGUAGUUAGCUUUAUGCUUCUUUGAUAGUAUUUGAGCUCGUUAAUAAUCCUACCAUUACUUAGUACGACAAUGUGGGGAACGUUGUUUCUGUCUAUUCAUCCUUACUGCCUUGUCUACCCUAGGUUGGCAAAGAGUUUCUUGCAAUGGAAUUGAGUAAUAAUUAACCGUCUAGUGGAAGUAAAUUGUUUGCUUUCAGUAGGCAACGAUUUCUUUGCUUUAUCAAAUGAUCCAUGCUUCUUAGCGGUAAAGUGAAACUCAGUGUCAUCGGAUAUGCUUGUAUAUCGGUGGCAACAAUAUGGAAAAACUGCACUAUUGACGAUGAUGCUAUUUCAUAAUAGAGUUAUUUUUCUUGUAUGUCACUAUGUAAUUGUAGGUGGAAUAUGUUGAUUAUCCUUCAAUAUUGACCUUGCUGUUAUUUAGUUACAACAGAUUUUUAGAGAGAUGAAAUGAGUGUGUGACACGUGUUUACAUUACAGCUUCAUUUCUUUGUCUGUUUGUUACAGCAUUCCUUUCUCUUCUUGUAUAAAUAUCUUUAGAGACUCAUUUCUUUGUAAUCAAGUUUCCAGAUAAUCAAAACAUUUCUCUCUGAGAUUUUGUUCGUCUCUCUUUCUCUCUUUUCUUUCUUGUUUCUCAAACCCUAGCUCAUCUCUGAUGCCAUGGCUAUCAUGGUAUCAAAGCUCCAAUAGAUCCAAGACCUGAGAUACAUGCUUCUGACUCUCCUCUAAUCAUUCUCUUUGGUUUUUUGUUCAGAUCUAGCUCUCGUUGUGCUGCGAUUUGGUUACCAGGGGCUUUGUUCUUAAUUGAAGCUUGAUUAGAGUUUUAAUUUCUUCAUCAGAUCUGAGCUUAUUGAUCACACUUAGGUGAUUUUCUUUGCUCAUAUUCCUUGAAAAAUAUGCGAUUCAUAGUUCUUGGUGAAAUCUGUAAAAUUUUAGAGUUGUGGAGUAAAUCAUGAGCAUAUAGAGCAAAUCAGAGUAAAAUUAGAGCAUAUAGUGUCUCUUUUGAGCAAAUAGCUUCUUGUCUGAGAUAAAAUAGAGCAAAUCUGAGCCUAAAUCUGAGUUUAUUAGAGUAAAUUCUGAUGAAGAAUACAAUUCGAGCAUAUAGUUGAGCUUUGAUGAAGGUUUAGAUGUGAGUACAGAGAUUUUGAGUAUUCAGUUGAACUUUGAUGAAAUUUUAGAUGCAAAUGCUGGUUUGAGUGCUUCAGUUGAGCUUUGGUAAAAUUUUAGAGCUAUUUCAGUGCCUAUGUUGAGAAAAAUUAGUGAUCUGUAGUAUCUGAAGUUGUGCAAUUGGGAGUAAAACUUGUGCACAUUUCAGCUGUUCUUUUUGAAGCAGAAGUGUCUACUUGUGCUGAUCUCAAUCAGUAUUUUUAGUAUUAGUGGUAUUCCUGAUAGAUUGACAUUUGCAGCUAAGGUUCUCAUGGCUUCUCGAAGUGCAUCAUCUAUACCUAGUCUUUCACACUCUGAUGUUCACUCUUUGUUGAGCAUCAUUACAAUGCGUCUUGGAGAAAGGAACUUUAUUAAAUGGAGUUUUCAAUUUCAGUCUACUCUUGUUGGAAAUGGAUUGUUUGGAUUUUUUUAUGGCUUUGAGGUUGCUCCGCCUAGAUAUGCUCUUGCUUCUGAAGGUGAAGUUACAACUGAAGAAACUGCAGCAUAUAAGGCAUGGAAACAAACAGAUAUGGCUCUUCUCAGUCUUUUGAUAGCUACUUUGGAUGAGGAUAUUGUAGAUGUUAUUAUUGGAAGUAAGACAUCUAGGCAAGCUUGGAUAGCUCUUCAAGAACAUUUUUCUGCUGUGUCAAGAGUGAGCAUUAUGCAACUCAAAACUGAGUUACAAACGCUUGGCAAGGGAAGUGAAACAGUUGAAAAAUAUCUGCAGCGUGUGAAGAGUGCUAGAGAUCAACUCCUAUCUGUGGGAGUGUCUGUUCCUGAUGAAGAUCUUGUAAUUGUCAUUCUAAAUGGAUUACUUGAUGAGUAUUCCACUGUGAGAAUUGUGAUUGAGGGUAGAGAAACUCUUAUUUCUCUCCAAGACUUGAGGUCUCAAUUGCUUUCUGUAGAAAGAAGAAUUGAAGAAAGUUUCUCUCUUCUUUCAAACAUGUCUGCUAUGGUAGCUAGAGGCAAUAAUGGAUCAAAUGAGGGAGCACAUGGUACUGGUAGAGGGUGGAAUGAUAAAGUUGAUGGCAAAGUGAAAGAUAAUAGAUUUGCAGGUAGUGGUGUUGAAUGUUCUGUGUGUUGGAAACGAGGUCAUACUGUUGAUACAUGCUUCAGGGUUCACAAAUGUGGGAUAUGUGGUAAACAUGGUCAUCUUACAAGCACCUGUUAUCAGAAUCCUGAUUACAACAUCAACAGUCUUCUCAACCUCAAUCCAAGCCUCAAUAGUCUUCUCAACCUCAAUAUAGGCCACAAAAUAACGGUCCUUCUCCUGAAUGUCAAAUUUGUUCUAAGAAAGGUCACACAACUGCAAAUUAUCCUUGUCCAUUCCUACAUGUCAGAUUUGUGGUCUCAAGGGCCAUGUUGCUCUUAACUGUUCUCAUAGAACCAACUUUGCAUAUCAAGGCUCAGAUCCUCCUUCUACUCUUACUGCUCUAGAAGCUCAAUCUUCUACAAAUACUAACGGUGUUUUUCAGCAAACACAGGGAGGAGGAUAUGUGAUAUCAAAUUGCCCCUCUAGUUCUUGUUUUCCUGGUGGAUUCAAUCCUAGCAGUGAAGCCUCAUCAUCAAAUCAUCCUCCUGCUUCAUCAAAUUCUUAUUCUAACUCUGAAACCUGGAUUGGUGACUCUAGUGCUAUACACCACAUGACUUCAGAGCUAAGGAAUGUUUCAGUUGCUCAACCUUAUGCUUCUGACAACAAGAUAACCAUUGGUAAUGGUACAGGUUUAAAAGUAGCUCAUACAGGCUCAAGUUAUAUUAAACUUGCUGAGCAUGUUUUACAGUUGAAUCAAGUUCUUCAUGUUCCUGACUUAGCAAUGAAUUUAUUGUCCUUCACAAAGUUGUGCAGAGAUAAUGAUUGCUUUAUCACUCUUGAUGAAUCUAACAUUGUUGUGCAGGACAAGGCAUCCAAAAGGAUUCUUUACCAAGGAAAGAGUAGUGAGGAAGGAUUAUUUCUUUUCAAGUCUCCACCACUAUCAUCAAUUUCACAACCUUCUCCAUCUGCUUUUGUCAGCUCAGCUUCUUCAUUUCCAGUAUGGCAUCAAAGGCUAGGUCAUCCUUCUUCUCCUAUCAUGUUUAAAAUGUUGUCUAGUUCCCAAAUAAAAAUUCCUAGUUCGGUUUCUAGUACAAUGUGUUCUUUUGUUUAGAAGGCAAGAUGCACAGACUUCUUUUUCCCCUUCUGAGUCAAAAUCAUCUUUGCCCUUUUCAAAGGUGCAUUAUGAUGUAUGGGGUCCAGCCCCAUGUUUGUCCAUUGAAGGGCACAAGUAUCAUGUUACUUUCAUAGAUCAUUGUACAAGAUUUGUGUGGAUUUUUCCACUUAUCAAAAAAUCUGAUGUUUUUGUCCAGUUUGUUCAUUUUUGUUCUUUUGUUGAAAAUCAAUUCAAUUCAACAAUAAAAAUACUCCAAACUAAUGGAGGUGGUGAAUUUAAUAGCAGGGCCUUUCAUAAUUUUCUUUCUUCAAAGGGUAUUGUUCAUCAAAUUACUUGUCCUCAUACCCCUCAGCAAAAUGGGGUUGCUGAGAGAAAGAAUAGACAUAUAGUGGAAACAACAAUUUCCUUAAUGUCUACAGUUGGUAUUCCCAAACAGUUUUGGUUUCACAGUAUUACUCAUGCAUUCUUGUUAUCUCAUUAACAAAAUGCCUAGCAAAUCUUUAGAUAUGAUCUCUCCCUUUGAACUUCUUUUCCAUAAGCCUCCUGACAUUUCUCAGCUAAAAAUAUUUGGUUCAUGUUGUUAUCCAUAUCUCAGACCUUAUAAUCAUGACAAAUUGGAUCCUAGAACGACACAAUGUGUCUUUUUACGUUAUGCCUUGGGGUAUAAGGGAGUGUUUUGUUACAGUAUCACUCAAAAUAAACUUUGGAUGUCAAGACAUGUAAUUUUUUAUGAAACCAUCUUUCCUUUUCAUCAUACUCCUUUUUCAGAGUCCUCCCCUAUUGAUCCAGUUACUUUCUUUCCCUCUUCUUUCUCCUCUUCAUCUCUCACUACUCUUUCACAUCCGUGGAUGCCUGUCACUUCUUCUCCUGCUUCUGCUCAUGAUGUAGUUGCUAGUAUUGGUGUUGAUUCCUCAAUAACAGAUAUUUCUACAAAUACUAGAUCAGCUGAUAUUGGUUCCACAGAAAAUAGUGGUGUAGUUUCAGCAGGUGAUAUUGAUAUUACUGAUCAUCAUUCAAACAGUGUUGGUUCAACAGGUAGUGAUUUAAAUGCUUUAGGUGAAGCUGACAUAUUGGCAUAUGAUUCAAAUAAUUCGACUGGUGUUGAUACUAUAGUAACUGUUGUUACUAAUACAGGUGGUGUUGAUGUCAUUAAUAAUGGUGCUGCUACUUCUAAUAAUACUGUUUCUCCAAGUAAUGUUUCUGCUCUUAAUGAGCCUGAUUUAAAUGCUUUACAGUAUGGAGGGAAUUUGGAUCAUGAUAUUCCUCAAGAGCUUGCCUCUAUUAUUGAUCAGAACUAUAAUGAUCAUUCUAUGUUAACUCGUGCCAAGAAUGGCAUAGUGAAAAAGAAAAGUUUUGAAGAUUUUUACUGUUUUUCUGCCAUUGCUCAACAACAGUUAUUUUCUAAGUAUCCAUAUUUCAGUGGUUUUACUGCUAUUACUGAUGUCAGUGAUAUUAUUGAACCAAAAUCUUUUCGAGCAACUUCUGGGAAGGCAGAAUGGGAUCAAGCAAUGUUGGAGGAAAUAGAGGCUUUGCUGAAACAAGGUACUUGGACUCUUGUUCCUUGUCCUACAAAUAGAAAUAUUGUGGGAAGUAAGUGGAUUUUUAAAGUCAAGAAGAAUCCUGAUGGGAGUAUUUCCAGAUACAAAGCCAGGUUGGUUGCUCAAGGCUUUAGUCAAUCUAAGGGACUAGAUUAUGAUGAAACUUUUAGCCCUGUGGUAAGACAUAGUACAGUCAGGGUCAUAUUAGCUCUUGCAGCUAUGAAUAAUUGGGAGUUAAGACAACUUGAUGUGAAGAAUGUCUUUUUACAUGGAGAUUUGAAAGAAGAAGUCUAUAUGUCUCAACCUUGGGGUUUUAUUGAUCCAGAAUAUCCUACUCGUGUUUGUUUGCUUAGAAAGUCUCUAUAUGGGUUGAAACAAGCUCCAAGAGCUUGGAAUGAAAAAUUUACUAGUUUCUACCAAGUCUGGUUUUAACUUUUUCUCAUUCAGAUCCCAUUCUCUUUAUCAAACAUACUUCAGCUGGAAUGGUUGCACUGCUAUUAUAUGUGGAUGAUAUAGUUAUCACUGGUUCAGAUUCAAAUGGCAUUCAUGAUGUUAUAUCUAAGUUGAGUAUGGUUUUUGAUAUGAAGGAUCCUGGAUCCUUGUCAUACUUUCUUGGAUUAGAGAUUACAAGAGUUCAAAAAGGCAUAUUACUUGACUAAGUAUGCAAAAGAUCUUACUAUUAAGGCUGGUAUGGACUCAAUUAAUACCUGCAAUUCUCCUUGUUUUCCUCAUUCUCAAAUGACUGUAGAUCAAGGUACUCCUCUUCAAGAUUCUACUCUCUAUAGAAGUAUUAUUGGUGCUUUACAGUAUUUAACAUUUAGUACUCGUCCAGAUAUAGCAUAUGCUGUCAAUACAGUGUGUCAGUUUAUGACUAAUCCCACAGAUGUGCAUUAUGCUGCUGUUAAGAGAAUUUUGAGAUAUUUGAAAGGAACCAUUGCUAAGGGAAUUUUCUAUAGUUCCUCUGGUGCUUUACAUAAUGUUGUGAAUGUGAAGGCCUUUUGUGAUGUUGAUUGGGCUAGUGAAGUUAUACAAAAACGUUCUACUACAGGUUUUGUUGUCUAUCUUGGUUUGUGUCCAGUUUCUUGGCAGUCCAAGAAACAAAGCACUGUAUCUAGGAGUUCUACAGAAUCAGAAUACAGAAGUUUGGCAAAUACUGCUGCAGAAAUUAGUUGGAUCAAGCAUUUACUAUGUGAUUUGAAGACUGCAAUUCCUUCUUCUCCUUUGCUCAAAUGCAUGUGAUAACCUUUCUACUCUAGCAUUAGCCUCCAAUCCAAUAUUUCACUCUAAGAUCAAGCAUCUUGACAAUGAUUGCCAUUUUGUUAGAGAAAGAGUUCAACGCAAUGAUCUUCGACUUGAGUAUGUUUCUACAACAGAACAGACUGCAGAUAUUCUUACAAAAGGCCUAGCAUCUCCUAUAUUUCGAACUCUUUGUGUCAAUCUCAGGCUAGCUUCCCUAGCUGAGGUUGAGGGAGGGUGUUGACUAUCCUUCAAUAUUGACCUUGCUGUUAUUUAGUUAUAACAGAUUUUUAGAGAGAUGUAAUGAGUGUGUGACACGUGUUUACAUUACAGCUGCAUUUCUUUGUCUGUUUGUUACAGCAUUCCUUUCUCUUCUUGUAUAAAUAUCUUUAGAGACUCAUUUCUUUGUAAUCAAGUUUCCAGAUAAUCAAAGCCUUUCUCUCUGAGAUUUUGUUCGUCUCUCUUUCUCUCUUUUCUUUCUUGUUUCUCAAACCCUAGCUCAUCUCUGAUGCCAUGGCUAUCAGAAUAGAGUAAUCAGUUGCGCCCUCUUCCCUUUUCUUUUUCGGUUGUUACCUUGCUAUUAAUGAAUAAUAAGCACCAUUUAAUUGCGCAAUCAUCGUUUCCUAGCUAUCCUAAGUCGGACACCUCCUACGUACGUACAUUAAGCUUUUCUUAUUGGUUGGAAGCGUCUAAUCACAUUGGUAGAUAUGAUUAACAAAAGAAGCAUGUGUGUGUGAAGAAGCUACGUACAGUCAUGCCAAUUAUACUAGCUACCACUCUAUAUGGCGCUAUGGAAGCAGCAAGGAAUAUUGAAAUCUUCUCCUAUGAACAACUAAUUAACGCGUUGAUUUUCCCCUCGCGUCCUUGGUAUUUCCCUAUUCUACAUAUGCACGCAGCACACCAAUAUCUUCAUUUCCCACUCCCUCUCUACCCCUUAUAAAAACCUCGCUUCACCUUCAUAAUUUCCAUUACUUCUUGUCUUCUUCACCCCAUUCGAUCAUUUAGCGAUCAUUUAGCAAGUUUUGAUUAUAUAUACUCUAACUUUUACACAACCAUCGCUCCAUUUCAGCCUCCAUAUAUGGCAGAGAGAGAAGAAGCCCACUUAAACGGGGCCUACUACGGCCCCUCAGUCCCGCCCAGCAAAUCCUACCACCGCCCCAGCCGCGGCGGUGGCCCCCUCGGCUGCUGCUGCAGCUGCGUCUUCGGCCUCGUUUUCAAGCUCAUCUUCGCUGCUGUUGUCUUCAUGGGACUAGCCUUCCUCGUCUUCUGGCUCAUAGUCCGCCCCACCAAAGUCAAGUUCCACGUCACCGACGCCACGCUCACCCAAUUCAACUUCUCCACCGAUAGCAACCUGCAUUACAACCUCGCCCUCAACCUCACCAUCAGAAACCCUAACAAGAAGAUCGGCGUUUACUAUGAUCGCAUUGAAGCCAGAGCUCUGUACGAGGGCCAGAGGUUCAGUACGGUUACUCUGACCCCAUUUUACCAAGGCCACAAGACCACAAACAUAUUGAACCCUGUGUUUCAGGGACAGCAAUUGAUUGUUGGAUCUGACUUGCUUGAGGAGUUUAAUGAACAGAAGACUGCUGGGGUUUACAAGAUUGAGAUGAAGCUUUAUCUGAGGAUUCGGUUCAGGUUGGGUAAGAUCAAAACCGGGAAGUUCAAGCCUAGAAUUGAAUGUGACUUGAAGGUUCCUGUGAGUCAGAAUGGGACUUUAGUUGGAACUUUUCAGACUGAGAAGUGUUCAGUUGAUUUCUUCAACUAUCGAUAAGUUAUUUCUGUUAAUUAGUCCACGGCGGAGAAGAGAGCCCUAGCUUCAUUCUUGUGGAUGGUGCAUUGAUACUCCAUUAUGCUUUCUUAUACGGGUUGUGGACUUGUGGGUGUCUUUGAUAUUCUUUAAUUUUUUUAUUCGGCCCUAACAUACGUAUUUACAUUUAUGAUCCUCCAUUUGUUAUUAUAUUACAUUUGCACUCUUUAUAUUACUCAUUAACUAAUUUGUCACUUUCAUUACAGUAUUUUACAUCUACAUAUAGAGUAUUGGAAAGAGAAGCAAGAAGCUCAGCAAGAGGGUUUUUUAAAAUUUGCGUAAACCUACUAUACAACCUUGGUUGGUAUUUUGGGCAUAAAUUUAUGUGGGGUGGUAUCUACAUCUUUAUAUCUUCACACCCUCUGACUAACUAACUAAUAAAUCAUAAAUGUGAAAAAAAUUCACCUUCCUUACAAUCUAGCAAACACACGACGUAAAACCUGGUGAAAGAUGUUCAUCCGGUGGUUGUACAAUCAAUAUCAACCAUUGUUGUCAUAUUAACGAUGUGUCAACUCCUCUCGAAGCCCCAUUUUUAGUUUUUUCUCACAUAAUUUUAAAAGGGUCAAUUACAUAUAAGUCUAUUUAGAGACAUUUUCUCCCAUAUAAGUUCACCUAAACAUUUUUACCUAUAGAAGUCCACCCAAUCAUAAAUAGAGUCUUAUAUUAGGUAUUAAAGUUCAACAAAAUUACAGACUGCCAUCCAACCAAAAAAAUUAGAUUUUCUCUCUUAUAUUUACAAAAAUACCACUAAUGUAAAAAGUCAACAAUCACAAAUGGUCUCCGGUUGACCUCCGGGGAGGUCUCCGGCCGACCUCCGGCGAACUUUCCAGCCGACCAUCUGUGAGGAUUCUAGCGACCACAAAAGUUACUACCACUGACAAAAAAAACUACUACCACUGACAACAAAAGAUACUACCGAUAGAAAAAAAAAUUACUGCCACCAGCAAAGAAAGCUACUACCGAUAGCAACAAAAACUACUACCACUAACAACAAAAUAUACUACCGAUAGCAAAAGAGGCUACUGCCACCAACAAAGAAAACUACUACCGAUAGCAACAAAAGCUACUACCGCCAGCAAAAAAAGCUACUACCACUGACAACAAAAAAUACUGUCACCAUCAACAAAAACUACUAUCACAGGCUAUAAAAGCUACUACCAUCGGCUAUAAAAGCUACUAUGGUGAGAUUUCUGACAACCUCCGGUAAGGUCACAAAAGAUAUUAUCACUGGUAACAAAAAAUACUACCGAACAUAACAAAAACUACUACCACCAGCUACAAAAGCUACUAUGCUGAGAUUCCAAUGACCUUCGGCAAGGUCACAAAAGAUAUUGUCACCAGCUAUAAAAGAUACUACCGAGUAUAUGAAAAGUUACUGUCACCAACAAAAAAAGCUACUAUUUCAAGCUAUAAAAGAUACUACCAAGCAAAUGAAAAACUACUACAAGGUAGAACAAAAGCUACUGCCACCACCUAUAAAAGAUACUACCGAACAUAUGAAAAACUACUACCAAGCAGAACAAAAGCUACUGUCACCAACAAAAAAAUCUACUAUCACCAACAAAAAAAUCUACUAUCUACUAUCACCAACUAUAAAAGCUACUACCCCUAGUUACAAAAGUUACUACAAAGAGAUUUCCAAUAACCUCUGACGAAGUCAUAAAAGAUACUGUCGUCAGCAACAAAAACUAUUACCGCAAGUAACAAAAGCUACUACCACCAUCAACAAAAACUACUACCACAAUCAACAAAUUAAAACUAUUACCUCCAAACAAAACCAAUAGCUAAUGUUUUCGGCAACAAAAUCUACUACCAAGCAUAAUGAAAGCUAUUACCAAUGUGUCAAAAAUAGACAAUCACAGUGGGGAAAAUAUACUAUCACAAUGAUGAAAAUGUACUAUCGCAUUGUUCAAAAUAUACUAUCAUACAAUGAGGCCGAAACAUACUUAUGAAUCUCAUUUCAUUCAUCUCCCACAUUAUCAGAACAUGAUUCUGUGCAUGAUUUCUCACACUCACUAUCAAAUUAACAGAAAACAUCAUCCUAAUCUUUGUUUACAUUUUCUAAAAACCAAAGAAACGAAUUGUAGCAAAUUUACACUCAGAAUUUUACCAGAACAGUCACCUCCAGGCGAUAUCUUUGAAGCGGCGUCGUCCAGGACUUGUCAUCGAGUCAGCAGCGGAGUCCAAGCUGUACGGAUCUCGAAUCGCCAGCAGAAGGCGAUCAUAGCCGUCAAGGACCAGACGAGCCACGGGAUGAGCCGGCGAGCCAUCUGGUUUCAGAGAUCCCGUCGAGGUCAAAUCAGAAGUUGUCAUCGAUGGAAUUGGACGUAAUAGACGUCGAGGUCAGGAGCGACGUCGAGGUCGAGGCGUCGUCGUCGAGCCGGCAGCGUCGAGGUCGAGGUCGAGGUCGAGGUCGAGGUCAAGGCGUCGUCGUCGAUCUCGCGACAUCGAGGUCGAGGCGUUGUCGAUCUGGCAACAUUGAGGUCGAGGCGUCGUCGUUGAGCCGGCGGCAUCGAGGUCGAGGUCAAGGCUUUGUCGUCGAUCUGGCGACGUCGAGGUUGAGCCUGCUUCCUCGUCAUCUAUCAAGCGGUGCCAAGCCAUCGUCGUCGAGCUGGUGUUGGCCUGAGACGCCGCCAUGGCCGGAUAUUCGAGACCGGAGAAGAGAGGGUGGAGGAACACGAAGAGAGAGAGAGAGAGAGAGAGAGAGAGAGAGAGAGAGAGAGAGAGAGAGAGAGAGAGAGAGAGAGAGAGAGAGAGAGAGAGAGAGAGAGAGAGAGAUGGAGAGAAGUGAAAAGGACGUGAGAAGAAGAGAGAAAAAUUUAUUUGCAGGGAAAUAGGGUAUUUUAGGAACAUCGUAAAUAUAAAAUGACAGGUUUAGGUUUAAAAGUGGACUUAUAUGGGUAAAAAUAAUAAGGUGGACUUGUGUUACAAAAAAUGUUACGAAAGUGACUUUAGUGAAAUUUUCUAAUUUUAAAACUAAAAAAUGGUCAUUAAACAAAUAUCUUUCUAAUAUUUAAUUGUUUCAUUUCAAGUUAUUGUUACCGAUCAACUUGAUUGUCUGUAAAGAUGUACCAGACAGACAGUGUCUUCUGUUCCAAAGUUCACCCUGCCUCUAAUGCUCAUAAAAUAUUUGAAUUGCUUGCGUACCUAAUGCUAUGGAAACAAUAUCUAGUUUUGACGUUUUGGAUCUGUUAUAGGAGGAGAGCAACCUUGUCAAAAAAGUCAUUAAACAAAUAUCUUUUCAUUGUUUAACUGCUUCCAAUAUCUCACUUGCUUAUGUGCUACCUAAUGCCAUGUAAUGAAAUAGGUAGCUUUGAUGUUUUGGAUAUGUUAUAGGAAGGGAACAGCUAUAUAUGCAGAGUCCUUUCAUGCAAUAUCCAAGAGCCUUCAUGUUGAUUUACUAUUUGCUGAUUGGUCAAUAUCACGUUAAUCAUAUUACUCUUAUCCUAUCACAAUUUCAAUAUACAUGAGAAAAAGCUAAGUAACAUUUGGUCUAGCGGCAUAGUCUUCUUUUAGUAAGCAGGAGGUUGUAAGUUUGACUCACGAAAUACUAAUUGUAGUAUUUAAGUUGUUUACCAGAUCAAAAAUAAAACAUACAUGAGAAAAAAGAAUUGAAAGAAAGCCCCAUGAAAAAUAUGAAAAUUUUUGUUACCUCAUAGCUAGCUAUCAAUUGAUUGGUAUUGUAAGUAAUUCUAUCAACAGAAGUAGAGCAAAAAACGACUCCACGUCGAUGGGGUAUCGCCAUGGAAGCUUCGAAGAAAUGAACAUCCCCGUAUUGUAAGUAGGGUUUGUCUAGUAUCACCUUCAGAAUCCACAUCCACACGCAGCCUCAGAUAAGAGCUUCUUCCGUAAACGUUAAUUAACGCGUUGAUUUUUGUUUACCCACCCAACGCGUUCUCGCCAUAUCUCCUUCCUUAUUAUACACAAUCCCUCUCAGCACACCAUUUCCUUGAUCAUUUCCCACUUUCCCUCUUCCCCUUAUAUAAACCUCUCACUUCUCCUCACCUUUCUCACAUUCCACUCUUCUUUUACCUCUUUCGUUUCAUUCACUAGUUUUCCACAAAGUCUUCUCUCUUAUCUUAGCUUCAGCUUCCAUGUCGGAGAAACAAGCAGGCUUGAAUGGCUCCUACUACGGCCCAUCCAUCCCGCCCAAGAGGGACUCCUACCAAAGCGUCGGCCGCGGCGGAGGUCCCCUCGGCUGCUGCUGCAGCUGCAUCUUCGGCCUCGUCUUCAAGCUCAUCUUCACCGCCAUCGUCUUCAUGGGACUCGCCUUCUUCGUCUUCUGGCUCAUAGUUAAACCUAACCGCGUCAAGUUUCACGUCACCGACGCCACUCUCACCCAAUUCAACUUCUCCUCUGACAGCAACCUCCACUACAACCUCGCCCUCAACCUCACCAUCCGAAACCCUAACAAGAAGCUCGGCAUCUACUACGAUCGCAUCGAGGCCAGAGCCAACUACGAGGGCCAGAGGUUCAGCACGAUCACUCUCACCCCGUUUUACCAAGGACACAAAACCACCAACGUUUUGAACCCUCUGUUUACUGGACAGCAGUUGCUUGUUGGGUCCAAUUUGCAGUCGGAGUAUCAGAAGCAGACCAGUGCUGGGGUAUACGAGAUUGAGAUGAAGCUUUAUCUGAGGAUUAGGUUCAAGUUCGGUCGGAUCAAGACCGGAAAGUUCAAACCCAGAGUUGAAUGUGACUUGAAGGUUCCUUUGAGUACGAAUGGCAAUUCCGCAACUACCUUCGAGACCAAGCGGUGCAAGAUUGAUUACUUUAAAGCCAUCUAGCUGGUCAUCCAUGGCGGCCGAGGAGGAGAUCCUUUCUUGUUGAUACAGUCUUCUUCUUAUCUUUUCGCUUCUGCUUUGUGAUUUUUCAUACCAGACACUAUUCUUUUGUUUCUUUUUUUGGCGUUACGAUUACUGUUACAUAUCAUAUGUACACUGAUUAUGAGUAUAUGAUGAUGACGAUUUAGUGAUCAGAUCUUUGGAUUAUAAAUAAAUGACGAUUUUAGUGGUUAGUGCUUUGCUAUCUCAUGACGCUUGUGAUGUCUGGUUUAUACACCUUUUCAACGUCUCCAUGCUUUUUCUAUGCUUUCAAAGCUAUAAACGUUAAAAGUCUUCGGUAAUUUACAAUUAUUUUUAAAGUCAUUGUCUAUGAGUCAAUGACUACGCGGAGAUUGGGACCAAACUUAAAAUAAAAUAAAAUGACCAAUUCAAUUGAAAGCCGCUACCUAUGCCAAUUACAUAAAAAUCUAUUUGAAGACAUUUUCUCCCAUAUAGGUCCACCUAAAUAUUUUUACCCACAUAAGUCCACCCAAAUCUAAAUACAGUCUUAUAUUAGGUAUUAAAGUUCAACAAAAUUACAAACUGCCAUCCAACCAAAAAAUUAGAAUUUCUCUCUUAUAUUUACAAAAAUGCCAUUAAUGUAAAAAGUCAACAACCACAAAUAGUCUCCGAUUGACCUCCGGCGAGGUCUCCGGCCGACCUCCGACGAACUUUCCGGCCAACCUUCGGUAAACUUUCCGGCCGACCAUCUGUGAGGAUUCUAGCGACCACAAAACCUACUACCACUGACAACAAAAGAUACUACUACCGACAAAGAAAGUUACUACCACUGAUAACAAAAGAUACUACCAAUAGCAAAAAGAACUACUGCCACCAGCAAAAAAAGCUAUUACCGAUAGCAACGAAAGCUACUACCACUAAUAAAGAAAGCUACUACCACUGACAACAAAAUAUACUACCAAUAGCAAAAAAACUACUGCCAUCAGCAAAGAAAGCUACUACCGAUAGCUAAAAAAGCUACUGCCACCAGCAACAAAAGCUACUACCGAUAGCAACAAAAGCUACUACCGCCACCAACAAAAGCUACUACCGCCACCAACAAAAGCUACUACCGCCACCAACAAAAAAACUAUUGUCAGCAACAACAAAAAUACCACCGCCAGCAGCCAGAGGUACUACUGCCACCAACAAAAGAUACUACCACAACCAAUAAAAAAUACUAUCGCCACCAACAAAAACUACUACCACCAGCAACAAAAUCUACUCAUAAGAGAUUGAGAAAAAUACUAGCAUAGAAGUUGAAAACGCUUUGAUUGUAUAUACAAAAUAUUAUUAUCGUGUUGAAAAGAUACUAGUACAGAUAUUAAAAAAAUACUAAAAUUAUGUAACUUUUUACAAUGAUAUAAUUAUGUAUAAAGCUACUUCUGUACUUUAAAAAAGCUACUGUUAUAGUUUAGAAAGUUUACUACAAUAGUUUUAUAAAGCUACUUCCGUGGUUUUGCUAUUCUCGAUUAGCACGCGACUUUAUUUCAAAUAUUUCUUGGUUAGUCAAAUGAUCUCUUGGUUAAGAGAGGCUUCAAUAUCCAAAUUCACAUGAGAUUUCUGCAAGAACAAAUAGCACAACAAAAUANNNNNNNNNNNNNNNNNNNNNNNNNNNNNNNNNNNNNNNNNNNNNNNNNNNNNNNNNNNNNNNNNNNNNNNNNNNNNNNNNNNNNNNNNNNNNNNNNNNNNNNNNNNNNCACAUAACACAAUUGACACACAAUAUUGGUAUCAGUAAGCAUAGAUACUACGACAUUCACAGAAAGAUACUAUCUUAGUAGCAGAAAUAUACUUCAACAGUUAUAGAAAGCUACUGUCCUCAUAUACUUAACACUAAACAUCAUUUCAGACUAAAACACUUCAUUUCACACUACUUAACAUCUAUUCAGUCAAACAUGAUUGUUAUACACACUACUACUGCACAAUUGAGCUAAAAUCAUGAAGAAAAUUCAAACACACUAUCUUCAACAAUCAAAUUAGGCAACGGAGUUCAAGAGCCAAAACCUACUUACCUGAUUGAGAAGCAAUUCAUCGCCGGUCUUGUGGAACUUGGCCAGGGAGUCACGCUGUCUCCGGCGAGCGAUCUACAAAAUUGACAUAGACCGCCGCCAUCGUAGUUAUUGAAAACCAGCGCCGACGUUGACAGCGACGUCGACAAGGACGAUUAGCGAGGAUCGAUCUUCUGAGAGAGACCUCCGACGCAGGCAUAUCUACGAUCACAUUCACUUCAGAGCUAGUUUGGUGACGACCUUGUAGAUCCACUUGCGCUUUGAGGGAUAUGCAGUCUAGGUCGUCGAGAUGUCGUCAACGGUCGAUCCCGAAGUCAUCGUUGCGGCGGCGGCAUCGUCGGAGUUGGAGAUGCAAUCGAGAUCUAGCUGGAAGUCGUCAUCGAGGCGGCAUGGUAGCGGUGUUGGAAUCGAAGGUGGGAGAGAGAGAGAGAGAGAGAGAGAGAGAGAGAGAGAGAGAGAGAGAGAGAGAGAGAGAGAGAGAGAGAGAGAGAGNGUNNNNNNNNNNNNNNNNNNNNACUCAGUAUAAAGAGAGGAGGGCAGUUUCGGUAUAACAAAAUUGUAAGCUGAUGGAAUUAAGCUUUGAAGUGGACUUAUGUAGGUAAAAAAUAUAAGAUGGACUUACGAAGGAUAAAAUGUUUUAAAUGGGACUUUUAUGAAAUUUUCUAUACUUUAAUUAAAGAAAAUAUAGCCGUUUAUCGUUGACCGGUGAUUUCACACUUGCACAUAAAAGAUUAUUAGCUACGGAGUCAUUUAUUAUUAAUGCAAUGGUUAUAUAAAGGUCAUUUUAGAGCCGUGAUGUACGUAGGAUUUAGAGACAAAAUUUUAGAAAAGAAUUAGGUCCACGUCCGUAUGAAUAUGUGCAUUCACAUUCUCUGUCAUUUGUACGUGUGUUUAUAUAUAUGUAAUAUAUAUAGGGAUCAUGAAUGUAAACAAUUAGAUUUUCGUUAUAAAUCAUACAUGUGUACAUACGAUGCUUCUAACGUGAUUUAAAGAGAAUGUGAUGCAUUGUAUAUAUGUAUCUAUAAGAACGUGAAUGAAUAUAUGAAGAGGCAUGCAUACAAUGAGCAACUCAUGUUAGCUUCCUCUUUUUGUGAUUAUGUCACAUAGGCUAAUUGGGCAUAAAUAAGAAGGCAUCAUUUUAAAGAAAGAAGAUAGUUCAACCCCUUGUCAUCUUAAGAUUCUCCUUGCUGUCUUCUAUGAUUAAAUCAAUUUCUUGUUAUUUUGAUACAAUAAUCCUACUACGUACUCAAAUGCAUCGAUCACAUGCAUGGUUUUUUUUUUCCAAUACAUGCAACAAUUAAACAGAAUGGAAGCUAAAUUUUGUAGAGCUUCAUGUAGAUAAUAAUGCAGGCCAUGCCACGUACAGGUUUUGUUCAUACUGCAUUCACUAAUAGCCACCUAUGAUCAGAUACAAAUUUAGAGCUGUGUCCCAUGUUGUAUCAAAAGACAUCCUUUUCUCUAUGUGCGUAACUUCAUAUAUAUUUUUUUCUUUUUUACUACAGAUAACAAUAACAAAAUGUGUAGAUGGUAAAAAAUCCGAAGAGAGGAUCAACCUGACUGAGGUGUUGAAGGAGAUUAUUAUAGGAUUUCACCGAAUGAGAAACUUAUGCCACAAGAUUAGAUGAUACUGGACUACACUGUGAUAGUCUUUUCAUAUUUUUACUUUUUACUUUCCGUUUUAAAUAUACAUUCUCAAAAUAACCGAUACAUGCAAUUGCCCACUUCCGUUUUCCGUUUUCAAUAUGAAUGUCACUAGGUUGGAGCUGGUCGCUAAUGUACUGUUUUUUAAUCAAACAUGAAUUGGUGGCUAAUUAUUUGAUUCAAUUGGCAGGUGGGAGAAAGAACGAAUAGAAAUGGCACAUGCAAAUUAUAUAUGCAAUGUUUUGCAGAGCAGUUGUCAUUUACAAUUUACUAUUUCAGAGAUGGCAAACUACUGUUCAUUUACUGUAGCAGUGGACCCAUCUCCUCCCCACCCAUCACGCCUAACAGGGCUGUCCAAAUGCAAAAUGAGGUCUUUUUUUUUUUUGAUCAAAAUGAGGUCUUUAAUUUGAAGCAACGUACAAAAACUUUAAUGUUGAAGCUAUAAUGUUUUUAGUCCACUUAAUCACAAUCACCUUUUCAUUUAUUCAAAACAUUCAUCUUUUUGCAUCCCUGGUGUUGGGGUAGAAAUUGAACGAGGAUCUAAGAGCUUGCCGUUGUUGGGUUUGGUGAUCCGAUCUUUCCCUUUAGGGUUACGAGACUAGGCCCAAAGUCUUCCUAAGAUAGACUUUGUUGUGAUGGAGAGGCUCCAAGCGUGUAUAAUAUCAAUACUGAGAGGACUUAGUAGUGUGCAUAGUGUGGGAGCUAGGAUCAUGCAAGUGUAACAGAAUGCAAGUGUAAACCCUCAUCAAAUGUGGGUGAGGGAUCGUAAAAUAUGGUGGUGGUGAUUAGAGGUGUCUGAAGGUGUUAGGAGAAUGAGUAUGGUGGUGACGAUCUAGGGUGUCUGGAAGGAUAGGUAUGAUGAUGGUGGUCUAGAGACGGUUAAGCAUGAGGAGCUUGGUAAUGGUUUUUGCCUGUGUGUGUUGUGUCUCAAUCCCACUAUAGCUUCCUUUAAAUAAAAUGGAGGUCGAAGACCGAGGUAAAAAAAUGACCCGUGACUCUCUAAUUUUAGCAAGAGUCAGAACCCCCUUUCUCACUGCCAUCGUUCGAGCCUUAAGCAAAAAAAACGUAAGGGUGGCAAUGGUUCUGAGGCAUCCCUCCUCGAUUUCUUACCAAGCUAUUUUGGUUAACGGGUUCAAACAAGACAUGGCCUUGGGUUUACCUUAAGCUUAUAAGGUGAAAGUUGUGGAGACAAGUCUAAAGUGACUUGGUUUGAGGUGUUGUGUGAUGAUGUGUGAUGUUAGCAUCAUAUGUCUAAAGGCAUUGGGUGAUGAGAUGAGGUAUCCGUUACAUGCCUAUGCGCGGGAAGCUCAAAUUCAAGUUUGAUCCUCGACUCCCAAGACGUCUCGGACACUUGACAUUUGGUCUCCAUAGGCCUGGCAAAAAUCCUGUGUCCUUCCACACCACAACCCACUAAAUAAGCCGCAUUGGCCUAGUGUGUCUUGGGUCCACAUUAUUGGCUGACCGCGUGGCAUGGCGUGAUAGAUGGUUUUCGGUGUACCAUCUACGAUGCUUGUGCGCAACUGUGCUUGGCGUGUGUUGACACAUGUAUGAAAUGCGCGGGCAUGUGGUCAUUGAAGCGUGUCCAUGAGAAACCACGUGCCAUAAAAGGGAGUAGGCUUAGACAUGAACUCGCAUGGCCUGGCCUGGCUUAACUCUAAAUGGGCCUUGAGUAGAUUUGGACACGUCAUGGUGUGGCUUGCCUCCCACAUCCUAGAUAGAUAAAAGGAGUAGGCUUGGGCAUAAAUGAGCAUGUCAUAGUAGGCUUGGUAUAAAUGAGCAUAUCAUAGUAGGCUUAGGCAUAAACGUCAUGGCGUGGGCUUGCCUCCCUCAUCUCAUCCUAAAUAGGCUUGGGCAUAAAUGAGCAUGUCAUAAUAGGCUUGGGCAUAAAUGAGCAUGUCAUAGUAGGCUUGGACAUAAACGAGUACGUCAUAGUAGGCUUGGGCAUAAACGAGCAUAUCAUACUUGGCUUGACUCCCAAAUGGGCCUUGUGUAGGCUUGGCAUGGCUUUCGUGACCUCCUCCUAUAAUUUGGAUAUGUCAUGCCGUGGCUUGGAGAUUUUGUACCAAGCCCUAAGUCGCUCGAGGCAGAGGCAGACCAAACGACUCGGACCCAGGUCUCAUAUCAGCUCUAAGCCUAGGCCUCAUAUCAGCUCUAAGCCUGAUCAUUGACCUUAAGUCUCUAAAAAAAACAGGUUUACAUUUUUGGGUAUCAACACCUGACUAAAUAUAGUAUGUGCAAGUGAAAUAUUAGCUUCGCAAUAUUUCUACUGCCAAAGUGUUUUAGGGUUUUAUGAUAUUGAGCUUAUGAAGUUGUGACAGCAGCUCAAGGCAACUGAAAUACGUUUCUGUCCUCAUGUUCCUGCAAAUUGCAGUCUUGCCAUCCUUCUUUGUAUAAAAUACCCCAUCAACCGCCAUGCGUUGUUCUUUCACUCCCUCUCCACCGUUGCCCCUAAAACUUCCAUACGGUAGCUACAUGAGGAAAUUACGAUUCUGCCCUCAAUUGCGUUUAAAUUACAACCCUGCCACCGCUUUACCCUUCUCGCUCUCUGAUGUCGCCUCAUUUCCCUUCCAAUUAGGUUUCUCUUCCCUCUAUGUAUUCUUCAUAAAAGCACCAUGUAACCAUAACCAUGUAAACCUUCAUGGCUCCAUGAACACACCACAAAAUCUCAUUCCAACAUUCUACAAUUUUUUUCAUAUAUACUUAGUUUUUUUUGACUGCUAAUUAGAUCAAUCUCCAUAUAAGGGGAGAGAAUUACUGUUUUGCCCCUCCUCUACGCUUAAGAACACAGACUAAAUAUUCUCUUCUCAAACUUCCAGCACCCCGCAGCAACCUUGAUGCGGGUGAAAAUUUCUAGUUUGUGGCUAUAGCUGGCUAGCAAAUUGAAUGCAUGGUGCAUUAGCAAAUUAGCUAGAGACUCACGUCUCCUUCAACCUUUUUUUAAAUUUUUUUUAAUCAAGUAAACCUUCAUUAAUAGACGAAGAGUACAUAGAUUUGGAACCGAAGUAACUGGACAACACUUAGACACAGAGUUCACAAGAUCUCAACAAGAAAUCCAUAUUGAAACAAGAAAGAAAACAAACAAACAACAAACAGACACAAACAAGCAAACUAGCCAAGAUUCAUCGCGAAUCAGAUUAGGUCAUUUGUCUAUCAGUCAAUGCUGAUUUCACUACAAAAAAGAAUUCAGUUAGCCAUACCAAAUUACCACGGUGGAGAUUUGCUGUCACCAUUGGUCUAAGUUUUGCGACGGCAAAGCAACCGUCGUUAAAUUAAAACGAUUUUGCGACUGCAACUUCGCACCGUGGCAAAAAUAUGUGAGCUUUGCGACGGCAAUAUAGAGUCGUGGCAAAAAAAUAUAAAUUUUACGACAGCAUAUGGCGCCAUGGCGAAAAAAUGUGAACUCCUGGUUUAAUCGUAACCAUUGAUCUCAUCCUCACUUCAUCUGGACCAUUAGUCCCAAAUAUAAAACGUAAAAACCCUAUUCUAUUUUUCAGUUCCCUUUACCAGCUCCUUCAGCGGAGAACGAGAGAGAGAGAGACUAGAGUCGAAACCCUAGCUCGCCGCAACCAUCCUCCGCAGCUGACGGGUGCAAAACCUACAUCAAAUAAACCCUUAUCGUUAGCAGCAUUAAGUAAGUAAGGUAUCGUACUAGGCCGGGGAUUAAGGGUACCUUGCAAAACAAGCGUUAGUAAAACUAAUAAAAACAAGUAUUAUUUACAAAUAUACAAUCAAAUACAUUUACAAUUAAAUUGGGGGAGAUUGAGAGAUAAUUUCUAACCUAAAAUGCAAGAUAAAUAAACCUGAACUAAUAUAUACAAGCGAUCAUCUUCUUUCACAUGGAAAACAACCUUUCACACUACAUAAUCAAGUCAUCACAAUUUUUCAAUUUCCAAAAUAUAGAAUCAUGCCAACUAUAUGCAAGAAACGAAUUCGAAACACAAGCCGAAAGAGGUCAUGCAUCCCAUAUAAUCUUCUCAAGUCUCCUACGCUGGAAAAGUCUUAACACAUAGAAUAUUUCAUGCAAUCUAUCACGUUAAUACGAAGCGCAUCCAUACAACACACUACAUGAAUCAUUAAGCCUAAAAGAUGAACUCGAACAUAUUAGAUUUGUUUACCGAAAGAGGCUGAACAACCUAACAUGCAAUCUAUGUUCUUAAUCGAAACCCAUAUCACAUGAAUCCCAAUUUUUCCACUUGUUAAUCUACACUUACCGAAAGAGGCUUAGCAUAAAUUAUAGCUUUACUAACUUGGCCGAAUUAGCACAUUGAAUUAAACCGGAAUCAUAGACUUUCUAACACAAUAGUAGGCAUGAUCUAGGUUAAACAAACAUCAUAAACACAUGAAUAACUCAAUCAUAUAAAUCUGAAAAUUUCAUGCAAUAACUAAAUCUCAAUAAAAAUCCAACUCCAAUGCAUAAAAUCAUCUAAGGGAAUUCGACAAUAACAAAUAUAAAACCUAAAAAACAAGAGUUUGAACCAUAGAUUACACUUUUUGAUCGCAAGAACACUUGAAGAACAACAAGGGAUAGUCUCGGCACAAAGAAGAGUAACGCUAUGCUUUUGGAGAAGUCCUAGAGCAUGGCAAGGAGGAUGAUUUUCUGAAUUUGGAUAGAUCCUUGGAGAGGCAGAGCUACGGCAGAGAGGACUGAAUUCUAUGCACAAGAAGAGAUAUCUUUUACGUCUCCCCCUUCUCCUAUAUGUAGCUGUUAUUAGGGUUAGAGAACCCUAAUUUUCAUCCAUGGGCUUGCAUAUGUGGUAUGGGCCUUGAAAUUAAACUUUCGGUCCAAAUCAAAAAUUCGGGCAGACUGACAUUCGGUCACUCAAACGGUCAUAACUUCUUCUCCAAAAUAGCUAUUGACGAUCCGUGAAAAGUUUUGGAAACUAGAAUCUUCUAGCUUUCCGUUGAUAUAAAGUUCAUCUUCUGGAUCAUUGUGAGAUGAUCACAAUCCUCUGUCGAAGUUGACUGACAAUUCCUGGAAGAUUUUCUAAUUUCUUUCCUUGCGCCAUAUGGAUUCCUUUUCCUUCAAGAUUUCUCCUCUUUUGCUUCUUUUGUGCUCAUUGGCUUUAUUUGCAACAUAAAAACACAAACUAAGUUAAAAUCAAUAGUGCAUGUUAAAGGAAUUACAUAGCUAAAUAGGGUCGAAAAUACAUUAAAAACGUCGCAUAAAAUGCACUUAUCAGCAGCCGAGUUUUUGCCAUCGUCCGGCGACAUCUCGACCUCCCACCACACUAUACGUGUUUGUUAUGGCCGCCCUCGCCUCCGAUCUCGAUCGAAAAGAGCGCCAGAUGAUGUACCUCUCUGUCCACGCCGAUGCUCAGGCCCCCACCGCAAGCGAUUUCCUCUCCGGGAGUACGACAACGUCUCCCUCGACGACGAUUUCAGCAUCCAGGUCUUUUUUCCUCAAUCCCCCUCAAUUUUAAUUUCAUCUUUUACUUGUGGUUUUUGCGUAUCUUUCAUUUCUGAAUUGCAAGAUUGGUUCUUUAUGAAAGAUUAUAUUAGGUGCUUCUUGAAUCUUUGGCUCUUGUUAUGGUAGUAAGGCAUUUCUUGGAUUAUAAGCACAAACAUGUUUUUGGUAGAGCUGAUAGUAAUGGUUAACUACGACUAGCACUAAUCGAGUGAUUUUGAUAGUAAUGGGGAUGUAGACCUUUUCUGGUAUAUUAACUAGCACUAGUAGAAGACUUUGAAAUUUAUGCAGGAUAAGAAGAGUAGGUGUUGCUGCAUUAUUUAUAUAUCUAAUGAUUUGUAUAUGUUUGAGCAAUUAAUCUGUAAUAUGAACCUGAUAUUUUUUUUCUGUAUACUUGCAGGAGUAGUGUAUGAAUUACUAAAGCAUUGCGGUUGUACGUAGGUAGAAGAACAUAAGCGACUUUAUCAUGAACAACUUGAGGUAUGCAUUUGGAAGCUGUGCACCAUUUUAUGUUUGUAUACAAAUGCAUGUGAACUGUUUGUAUGUUUAAAUCUACAUUUUGUAUCUCUGUGCAAUAGUUCAAGUACUUUGAAUUAUUUUAUUAAAAAUAUAUGGCUAAAAUCUUGUUGUUCUUAGCUUAAUCAUCCUACAAGUACUACUUUCAUUUCUAACGGCCUGUAAAUUUUCUUCAUUGAUGCUUUUAUAUGCAUUAUGUUUACACUUAAAACUCAAUGUAUGUUGUGUGGUAAUACCUAAGCACAUUAUUUGGAUAAAUUUUAAUCCGACCAAUAGUAGUCUAAUAGGAAUGGACAUCAGUUUAUACUUGCACAUUAAUCAUCAUAUACCAAGAAACUUCUUAAAGAACAAAGUUUCUGUCUACAUGAUUGUUUGUUCAAUUUAGUUUGCAGCUACUAUAGAUCAUCUCUCUUAUAUCAGAUGAUGCCUGUACUUAGUAUGUGAUUACCAUAUGCUACAAAACUUAUAUUUUGCCUCUCAGGCAAUAUUCAUGACAAUUGUGUUAUAGAUGCUUGUCUCCAACUUUGUUAAUCACUGGUCUUUCCUAUUAUUUGUAUCAAGUGGUGACUAAAGAUGUUGAAGAUGAGGCCAAGUAUGUAUGUCUUCAUCCAAUGUUACUUCUAGAAUUGAGUGGUGGUUUUUGUUUAUGGAGUUUGGAAGCAAUUCACUAAACACUCUCUUACUUGGUUUAAUUUCCUUCUUAAGGAGAAAGGAUGAGCUUUGGAGGCCUGAAGUUCAAUACUGCAGUUCAACAGAGAAAGAGAGGAAACUCCUCCUGCAUAGCUAUUGUUUCGGCAAUAGAGAAAGGUAGUAAACCUAUUGUGUUGGCGUUUGGUUUCGGUUUAGUGAAGGCUUGUGUGUUAGUAAUUGUUUUAAUUAGGAGAUGGUUGAAGUUACUAGUUAUUGUUUUGGUAUGUUGAAUUGGUGUCGAAUGUUUGGAUUGGAUUAAUUUUUUAAAAAGUGGAUUAGACUUAAUGGCUUGUGAGAUGUUGUUAAAUGUGUGUUGAUACCCGAAAAAUCAUGCAAUUUACCACACUACGAUUUGUUACGCAAUUCGUACAAAAAUCUAUAAUCUUGGGUUAAAUCCUUGAUUAUAACCCGUCAAGCAAACAUGCCUAUUGAUGUGGGCCCAAGCCACAUCCACGCAUCUUUGGGGCUUGUAGAAGUGGGUAUGAUGUGGAUGGUUACGAAGGCACAUAACGCUCGUCCGUCGAUUUAAUGUUGUCAAUUAGUUUCAAUCUUGGGCCCGAAACUCAAGCCUGACUACUUAAGUCGGUGACGAAUCGGUGAAGAACGUGAGAAUUGGACUGUUCAUCUUUUAAACCCAAAAUAUUUUUAAACCCAAAAGCCCAACACCUUUUUCCUCUUUAGAAAAGCCCAAACUCUCUUUUUCUAAGAAAGGCCCAAUCCCUUUCUUUCUGCAUUCUCAUUGCUAAACUAGAUGUCACCUUAUUUUACUCCCCGCAAUAGUGCAACGACAGCUCGGCAUAACAAAGAAGUCCCUUUCAUCUCCAAUCUGAGGAAGAAGAAGGUCAGUGACUGGUUCCAAAGCAGCUCUUUCAUCCUCGAAUGGCGAAAUCGUGGGAUUCAAGCUACUUGGUCCGCCUCGUUCCGAGUUUUCCGUCUCCGCAGCCGUCCUUGCAGCGCCCUCGCAGUGAGUCAUCUCUCUCAUCUCUCAAGACCAGCUGCUCUUUGCCAAGUUUUGAGGCUAAGACCAUGUGCUUGAGAAGAACAAUCCUUUUACACAGUGGAUUAGACUUUGUGACCCGUCGCAAAACCCAACCAAUUGAACUCUAUAAAAGAGAGGUCUGGGAGCUGCAAAGGUAUAAGGUAACCAACCGAGAAAAAUCCCUCAAACACUCAAGCUUUCAUGCCUUCAAACCUUCAAGCCAAAACCCCCCUUUCUAGCCAUCCUUCAGUCCCUCUCCUUUGAAACCCAUAUUCUUUCCAGAAAUCUAACCCAGAGAGCUCAGUCCAACUUUCAUCACCGAGGUGUGCCUUCAGCUCCCACGCCAGCUCAUGCUAGAAGCCUUUCCCUGAUCUUGAAUCACACACAAGAUUAACUUAGUAAUUCAAUUCUUUGAGUUGAUUUUGGCUUAGUUAUUUCCAAAUAAAAAAGAACCCCCACAAUGUGUGAGAUUAGCUCUUUGUAUCAAGUCAUUCUUAAGUAUUGCCUUGAAUGUAUUCACACACAAAUUUUAACAGAAAUUAUCUUGUCUGCCAAAUAAUCAUUCAGUAAAUUAUAUUUCUCUAUGUUUCACCCUUAAGGACACAUGUUCUGACAUAAUUCUUUUAUAGGGUGCUAAUGGAGAUGGUGGAUUUACAAUUAGCAAAACCUUGGGCAAAAUUGGAGCCGAUUCUAGUGGUUGCUAUAUGAAGCAGAAUUGGUAGCUGCAUUUAAAAUACAAGUAGCUUGUUAUUAACAUGGAAGCUGUUUUUCAUGUUAUUAGUUUUUGUAUCCUUGGUUUACGCUUGGUAUCUAGAUCGCACCAUCUCAGAUUCACAGUAAAGACCUUCCUCAUGUUCUGUCUUGCAAAACUCUAAAGCUCUUAUUAUGCAUACUUUGUGAUUCAUAUAGGAAAAAAAAUUCUAUGUGAAGCGUUUUAUAAUUGAAAGUUUUUCAUGUUGCAUGUUACUUCUAUUAUUGUCUGGUUGAGAAAGUUGAGGAACGUUGUUUGCCAAACUCAUGCUGCAGCCAUGCAAUUCCAACUGUACAUUGGGGACUUUUGAUUACGGUCAUGUGUUGUUUGGGUUGUAGGGUCAGGAUCUUAUUAUUGCAAAUAUUAAGGACUCUAGAGCUGUGCUAGGCACAAGAGAUGAAGAGAGUUCUCUCGUUGCAGUUCAAUUAAUUGUACGGAGACUAAAAACCAAGUAAGUUACUUGGCUCUUAUUUUAGUUAAGAAUAAAGAUAUGUGUUUUGUAAUGUUGUGUUUAUGUUUGUGAUGAGAUUCAAAUUUAUGAUUCUCUAUGAUGUAUACUAAAGAAUCCCUAUUGUUGGUAUAAGACUGACAUGAACUCCAUUUAAUUACGCAGGAAUGACCAGGCUGUUGAAGCCAUGGAGGCUUACAAGAUGGAAUUGGACGAAUACAACAAGUCUGAUUUAUUUAGAUUCUUACCCUAGUCAUAUGACUUGCAUGCUAUUUUAUUUUGAUUCUGAUUUAACAUGAUCUACAAUUGAAACUUUGGUUCUGGAGGCUUUGACAUAGUUAGUUGCACUUAGUUGGUUUUGUGCUUGUGUCAAGGAACUAUUUGGUAGAAACGUACAGUUGUAAAUUACUGCUUGAUGUGCUUAUAUUGAUAGUUCUUUUUAUGUAAAAUUGAUGUUUGAGGACUCUAAUUGAAUGUAACAAUUUUUUUCAGUAUGUUUAAUUUCUUUUUGCAUAGCUUUUGUCCAAAAAAAUAAUAAUAAGAAAAUCUGGCAACCUAAUAUGCUUGUCAGAUAUAUUUUUUUUAAUUUAUAAAUAGAAUUUGCCACGGCAAGUUUGCCGUCGCUAAUGGGUGAUUUGCGACGGUGGAAGCAGUCGCCAUUUGCCGUCGCCAAAUAAGCGACUGCUUUUGCAGUCGCUGCCUGCCGUCGCAAAAGAGUUGGCGACGGCUCGUUGCCGUAGCCAAAAGCAACGGCGACUGAAAAAAUGCUGUCGCAAAGCCGUCGCCAUUGCUCUUUCGCAACGGCAAAGUGGCCUUUGGCGACGGCUUCUUGCCGUGGCUAACCGAAUUCUUUUUUGUAGUGUUUUUCACCCUCUAACAUCCGUAUUCAAAACAAAUCCCAAAAGCCAGCCCACACUAGGCCGAACUUCUCCUUCAACCUAAAUUCAUAUAGUUACAAACGAUAUAUAUAUAUAUAUAUAUAGGGUUUUUCCACUAAGGGAUCCCUUAUUAUGACUUAUAUGAGGGAUUGAGCAUUAGCCCAACUUUUUGAUCACAUAUCAACAUCUCCACCAUUCAACCUCUAGGUAUAUAUGAGUAGAUCAUUUCUGAAAAUUUUCAGCCAAAUUGGUGAUCUUUAAGGCUUCGAACUAGGUUAAAUCAAUGGACGGUUCAAAUCUGCCAAUCCUGAACCAUUCAUGAAAAUUGCAGUUUUGAGCACCUUAACAAUCACCAAUUUGGAUAAAAUCUUGCAUAAGUGAUCUACAUAUUAGGACCUAAAAACUGAAUGGUUAAGAUUGAAAAAUGUGAUCAAAAAGUUAGUCUAAUGCUCAAUCUCUCAUAUAAGUCAUAAUAAGGGAUCCCUUAGUGGAAGGGCCUUGUGUGUGUGUGUGUGUGUGUGUGUGUAUGUAUAUAUAGUCCAGAGGACUUCCUUAAACUCUUAAAGUAAGGAUGUAUUUUGUUCUAGCAUGUAUUUUGACAAUCAAAGCCACCAAAUACCUAGCUACUUACCCACAUAUGAAUCCUACAAAAAAUUAGCCAAAAUAAAAAACGUUUAACCAUUCGAUUAGCACAAUAUUUGUUUUAAUUUAUCUAACGGUCUACAAUUGUUUACGUCAAUUUGAAUGACCAAAUGAUUAUGGAAUUAGUUGAAAUUUUGUAGACAUGUUUCUUGCAUAUGAAUCUGGAGGAUCAACGAUUGAGAUAGUUAAGUGAAGUCAUAUACUAAUGUAAAAUAGUAGAAAUCCUCAUAUUCUUAAAGUAAGGAGGUCCUCUUUAGAUCCUCCCUAUAUAUACAGGCCGGAUUAGAGGCAGACGUCCGCACCGGCCUUAAAGUGCGGACGUCCCAGCGUUCUCCACCGGACGGCUCCAAGGACGGCACGCCUCCACCCGAGCGGACACUAGAGGCAUCCCCGAUCACUUUCUCUUGCCAGCGAGAUCGAUUUGAAGGUUUCGGCAGCAACCUCCACCCAAAACUUCAGACAAGAUCGAUCUCAACUGCAAACUGGUAUUCAGCGGACUCGCUGGCAAGAGAAAGUGAUCGGGGAUGCCUCUGGUGUCCGCUCAGGUGGAGGCGCGCCGUCGUCGGAGCUGUCCGGUGAAGAACGAAAGGACGUCCGCAUUUUAAGGGCUGUACAGACGUCCGCUCCUGAUCGGCUCUAUAUAUAUAUAUAUAUAUUCAAUAUACUAAAGCUAGCUGAGCAAGUAUGAAAGGGCAUUUGAAAUAAGCUGCUCCUUUUUCAAUAUUCAUAGAACAAACUUAAUUUUAUCUGGUACUAUAGGUUCAUUCUAGUCAGUGGGUCGUUUCUAUUUAUCACAUUCUUAACGAGCAUUGGAUGAACAGGUCAAAAAUCUUUGUGGUAAUCAUAUUUAGGAACAACAAAAACAAGAAAAUUUCAAAACAGUGAUACGUACAUUUGGAAGUGGUGAGUGUAUUGGUAUCUUAUAAAAUCCUAAUACCAAGAGCUCAAAAUAGUGCGACAUCCUAGAGCUAGGCCCGAACUUCCAAAUAAUCCAAUAGAAAGCUAAACUGUGGUGUUUGGAUCUUGAUUACAUGAUACCCAUAAGACCACAAACUUAUAAGGGAGCGCUAGUUUGGCAACCCAGAGCUCGAAGCCUGGAAUACUGCUGCUUCAAUAAGUAAUGAAUAAGCAAUAUCACUAUUUAUUUAUACUAUAUACUAAAACUGAGUUCGGAUUUGAACAGUACCCAUGGGACCGAAAUGACGGUUUUGUCCCUACUUUUUUGUUUAAUUACAACUUUGCCAUUAUGGAACCGAAAUGAUGGUUCUGUCCCUGCUUUUUUGUUUAAUUACAACUCUUACCUGUGGGGCUAAAAUGACGAUUUCAUCCCUGUUUUUUGUUUAAUUACAACUUUGCCAUUGAGAAACUUCAUGAAAUGACUGAUUUACCCUUCGGUUGUUGCUCAAUAUCAAUUUUGCCAUCUUCUUACAUGUAGAAACCCUGCGGUUCGACACAGGUACAAAUCCUUGUAAACGCUAAAAUAGACUAUGAGAACAAGUGGAUCAACACAAUGGGAUUUAAAAGCUCAGUGCAAAAACCUUUUUAUAAGGAAAAACACUGAGCAGAGUUAUCAAUAUAAUCUUAAGUGUGAGUUUACAAGAAAAGUAAUUCUAAGCACAACUAUCUUACUCUUAAACUCUCGAUCAACUAUCUACACAACUUCCAAACACUUCCUACACGAGGAAAUCUAAAGCCUAUCUACUAGAAUCUCAACACACAUCCAGGUUGCUUGAUUCUUAAACACAACCAGCAGUCCUUCUGUUUACCUCAAGACUAAACAGAUCAACACAGCUUCAUCAAUCUCAAGUGCAACCUGAAUAUGCAAGUAAGAAGAGAAGAUGAACAGUUAGAAUAUGAGCAUGAACAAUGUCCACACAGAGUCAAUGCUAUAUAUUAAGGUCUUUUCUCAAUAAUAAAAAAGCUUAAGUUUAACAACAAUAACACAUACUAGCUAGAUCAAUUCUUUCCCCUUAAGUGAAUGCUCUCAUUGCCAUAAGAAUUAUAUUUGGAAGGUAAGCAAUCAGUCAACCAUCAUUUUGCACAUUCCAAACUAGCCUAUCAAUAACAUAUUAUAUUUAGACUAGCAAUUAGGAAAUCACACAUUUAAAUCCAUUUCAACAAUUGUGAUUGAGCAAGCAGAUAGUUUAUUUAGACCUGCAAUUACGAAAUUUUUUUUUUCGUCAGCUAAAGUCAUCACAGACGACCUUUUUCCGACGAAAUCUUAGCCGAUGAGUAAGAUCUUAGCCGACGAAUUAAGCUAACAGGCCGACGAAAAUUUUUCGUCGGCUAAAGUGCUUGUCCUGGUAGUGACUUUCUGGAAAUCAAAAUGGUUUUUGAUAUUGAACUCCCAUUAAAGGCAAAAGUUGCAAAGUCUACAUUUAACAUAAGUCACAACUACUAUUUUCAUGAGAAAUGUCUACUAUUUAGAUGAGUAAAAUCACAAAAAGUAGACAUUCUGGAAAUCAUAAUUGUUCUUUAGAUUGAAUCAAUGAAAAUUCACAAAAUGAAAAUUGACCGUCUGAUGUGAUCAUUAUAGUGAAACAUGGCUAUGGUAUAAAAUUCAACUGGAUUCAACAAUGUUCGGGGCUCGAUCAAAGCGGUCAACCCUAAUUCAUCUUCACAUAUCACACGAAAACUAUCUUACCUACCUUUUCGUGACCUAGUUUGGUCGAUUUUCUGGAAAUCAAAAUUGUUCUUCAGAUUAAAUCAACAAUUGAAGGUGAAAGUUGCAAAGUUUACAUUUAACAUAAACCACAACUACUAUUUUCACGAGAAAUGUUUACCAUUUAGAUAAGCAAAAUCACCAAAAAGUAGACAUUUUUUAAAUCCAAAUGGUUCUUUAUAUUGAACCCCCAUUAAAAGCAAAAGUUGCAAAGUCUACAUUCAACAUAAGAUACAACUACUAUUUUCAUAAGAAAUGUCUACCAUUUAGAUGAGCAAAAUCAUAAAAAAGUAGACUUUCUGGAAAUCAAAAUUGUUCUUGAGAUUGAAUCAAUAAUUGAAGGUGAAAGUUGCAAAGUCUACAUACAUAAGACACAAAUACUAUUUUCAUGAAAAAUGUCUACCAUGUAGAUAGGCAAAAUAACAAAAAAGUAGACUUUCUGGAAAUCAAAAUUGUUCUUGAGAUUGAAUCAAUAAUUAAAGGUGAAAGUUGCAAAGUCUAUAUUUAACACAAGACACAACUACACUUUUCAUGAGAAAUGUCUACCAUUUAGAUGAGCAAAAUCACAAAAAGGUAGACUUUCUGAAACUUCGUUCUUGAGAUUGUUCUUCAAAGUUGGAUCAAGUACUCUAAAAUGCAAAGUUUAUUAUUAACAUGAGUUAGGUCUACUAAUAACAUAAACUAACUGACAUGCAAAAGUAGACUUUCUGAAAGUUACUAUUUAUGGAAAUCAACUAUAAAAUGAAGGGUAAGUUUCUAUUUCGGGGGGUUAGUUUUGCUCUAAAAACGAAAGUUACUAUUUAUGGAAAUCAACUAUAAAAGGAAGGGUAAGUUUCCAUUUUGGGGGGAUAGCUAUGUUUUAAAAACGAAAGUUACUAUUUAUGGAAAUCUACUAUAAAAAGAAUGGUAAGUUUCUAUUUCGGGGGAUUCCUUUUCUGAAAAUUCAACAUUAAUUGCCACAUAUCGCGACCUCAUUCCUCCUAAGUUAUUAAUCUGUCCAUGUCAUUAAAGUUUACUUCUUUUCCACCAUUUCAAAACUUUAAAAAUGCAUAGAAAAUAGCUCGGUGUCAAAAAAAUUCAUCGAAAAGUGUCACGAACCACUGGCGAGACCUACUUCACAACUGCGUCUAAAUUUUAGUUAUCGGAAUCACAACGUGCCUACUAAUGUGGUAUAACUUGUUUUGUAGGUUAUAUGCUAGUGUACAACUUUGUGAACCAACUAUAUAGAGGAAGCAAAAUUUUCAAAAAUCUCGUGAAAUAAGAUGUGAUCGGUAUAGUAAAAUACGGCUACUUUAGAAAAAUCACUUUAAUUCGCCAAUGUUUGGGCCCCGAUCGAAGCGGUCAACCCUAUUUACGUUUAUGCUUCACUAAGGAGAGCCCUAUCCUUGGGUGGUAAAUAUCCCCAAAGUUUUACAUGGGUGGUUAUGUCUCAUCUUUGUGAGACUUUAUUGUGUUGAAGAAUCGACCAAACUAGGUCACGAAGAGGUAGGUAAGAUAGUUUUCGUGUGAUAAGUGAAGAUGAAUUAUGGUUGACCGCUUUAAUCGAGCCCCGAACAUUGUUGAAUCUAGUUGAAUUUUAUACCAUAGCCAUGUUUCGCUAUAAUGAUCACAUCAGACGGUCAAUUUUUAUUUUGUGAAUUUUUCUUCAUCGAAAUCAUAACGUGCCUACUAAUGUGGUAUAACUUGUUUGGUAGGUUAUAUGCUAGUGUACAACUUUGUGAACCAACUAUAUAGAGGAAGCAAAAUUUUCACAAAUCUCAUGAAAUAGGAUGUGAUCGGUAUAGUAAAAUACGGCUACGGUAGAAAAAUCACUUUAAUUCGCCAAUGUUUGGGCCCCGAUCGAAGCGGCCAACCCUAUUUACGCUUAUGCUUCAAUAAGGAGAGCCCUAUCCUCGGGUGGUAAACGUCCCCAAAGUUUUACAUGGGUAGUCAUGUCUCAUCUAUGUGAGACUUUAUUGUGUUAAAGAAUCGACCAAACUAGGUCACGAAAAGGUAGGUAAGAUAGUUUUCGUGUGAUAAGUGAAGAUGAAUUAGGGUUGACCGCUUUGAUCGAGCCCCGAACAUUGUUGAAUCCAGUUGAAUUUUAUACCAUAGCCAUGUUUCACUAUAAUGAUCACAUUAGACGGUCAAUUUUCAUUUUGUGAAUUUUCAUUGAUUCAAUCUAAAGAACAAUUAUGAUUUCCAGAAUGUCUACUUUUUUGUGAUUUUACUCAUCUAAAUAGUAGACAUUUCUCAUGAAAAUAGUAGUUGUGACUUAUGUUAAAUGUAGACUUUGCAACUUUUGCCUUUAAUGGGAGUUCAAUAUCAAAAACCAUUUUGAUUUCCAGAAAGUCAGUACCAGGACAAGCACUUUAGCUGACGAAAAAUUUUCGUCGGCCUGUUAGCUUAAUUCGUCGGCUAAGAUCUUAGCAGACGAGCCAUCGUCGGCUAAGAUUUCGUCGGGAAAAGGUCGUCUGUGAUGACUUUAGCUGACGAAAAAAAAAAUUUCGUCGGCUAUAGCCCCCGCAGUUUAGCCGACGAAAAACAUGUCGUCGGUUUUUUUCCCAGACUUUAGCCGACGAAACAAUUAAGAUAUUCGUCGGCUAAAGUCUGUAAUAAAAAAUUUUUUCCCAGACUAUAGCCGACGAAAUAUAAUAUGUUUCGUCGGCUAAACCUUAUAAAAAAUUUUAAAAAAUAACUAUAGCCGACGAAAUAUAGUCUGUUUCGUCGGCUAAACCUUAUAAAAAAAUUUGAAAAAUAACUAUAGCCGACGAAAUAUGCCAUAAUUCGUCGGCCAAACCUUAUAAAAAAUUUUAAAAUAUUAUAGCCAACGAAUAAACCUUUAAAUAUCGUCAGCUAAACCUUUAAAUAUCGUCGGCUAAAGUUGCUGGUUUUUGAAAAAAAAAAACUUCAGAAACUUUCGGCCACCUCCAAUUACCACCAAAAUUUGUAAGAAUCUUCCUCUCAACAUUUCGAACAACUUUCUGGAAGAAGUCGAAGCCUAAUUCUAAGCCUAAACAGGUCAAUUGAAUCAAAAUAUAAAAAUCCCCAAUUUUAAACCCUAAAAACUUCAAAUCUUCGAUUCUCCUCACACACACCGAAUCGAGCUACCAAAUUCUAGGGGAAUUUAGUACUAAUCAAACUCAACUUAUCCAUAUAUAGAACUCACCAAAUGGUGACCUGAGGAAGGAGAAAUUCGAUUAACACCGAAUCUAAACCGACGGAGUUUUGGAGCUCGAUUUAUCUCUCACGGCGGCGCCACUCGAUGCACCACCUAUCCAGCAAUGAAGUAGAGACGACGGCGAAGCUUUUGGGACAAGUGUGGCAGUCUCCAGUGGCUUGACGGCGGAACUAGGCAGAGAAGAAAAUCUGGCAGGCGAAAUAGACUUCUUACCAUCCACCUUCGGUAAAACUCCUAUAUAAAGAACUUUAGCCGACGAAAAUAAAGAAUUUCGUCGGCUAAACUCUUUUGAAAAUUUUGGUUGACCGCCAAAAAAUUUUGGUUGAAAAUUUUGAAAAUUUUUCGACUUUAGCCGACGACUUUUCAUAUAUUUUCGUCUGCUAAAGUCCUAUGAAAAUUUUCCUCCAAAUUUGGUUUACCGCCCAAAAAUUUUUGACCUUAGCCGACGACUUUUUUAAUAUCUCGUCGGCUAAAGUCUAUAAAUUCACGAAAACGCUCAUAUCUCCCUCUAUAUUACAUGGUUUGGUCAAACCUUCCACACAAAAAACUCUCACGUAGAUGAGACGCAACCGCCCAUAUAAAAAUUUUGAGACAUUUGCCUCCCGACGAUAGGGCUCCCCAUAGGGAGUAAUAACGGUAAAUAAUAGACACGUGAUUCCGAUGACUAAAAUUUACAAACCAAAAUUCGACCGUCCGAUAUGAUCAUUAUGACGAAAGAUGUCUAUGGUAAAAAAUUCAACUGGAUUCGACAACGUUAAGGGCUCGAUCGAAACGGUCAACUCUAAUCGGAAAUAAGAAAACUGCAUUUUGAAGCCCUAAACGGACUCGGAUGGCCAAAAAGGCCCAUACAUCAUGGCAUUAGCGAUGAGUUUGACUCGUAGGGCCGUUACGCUUCCAGAAAGGUAUCACAAUAGUCAAUCGGACACCAAAAACCAAAUCUGCAGCAUAGUGAAUAAUAAGGGUAAAUUACAUUGACCGCAACUAUCGGCACCGAGACUUUACCAGAAUACCGUGAUUUUUCAACUGUACACGUAUUUCACCAUUCUGGUCAUAUCUUAUUUCACGACUUUUUUGCGUUUGAAGGUUCUACGUAUAGUUUUUUUUUCCCAGAUGAGUUGUUGUCCAGAUCUGCAAAUAUAACACUUUAGCCGACGAAAUUCAGGCACUUUAGCUGACGAAAUUAUAUUUUUCGUCGGCUAAACUUUUAAAAAUUUCGUCGGCUAAAGUUUACAGAUUAUAGCUGACGAAAAAAAUUAUUCAGACGACGAAAUUUUAAUUUCGUCGGCUAAAGUUGACCAUAGCCGACGAAAAAUUUUAAUUAGCCGACGAAGGGAAAUUUCGUCGGUUAAAGUCCACUUUAGCCGACGAAAAAAUAAUUCGUCAGCCUGGUUUUUUUUAUUUUCGUCGGCUAAAGUCUUUCUUCUGGUAGUGUCUACUUUUAGGUGAUUUUGCUUAUUUAAAUAGUAUAUGUGUCUUAUAUUAAAUGUAGAUUUUACCACUUUUGCCUUCAAUAAGUUCAAUUUCAAAAGAGCAUACAAGAGAAGUUAGUUUCUUGCAACAAGAUCGAUUUUAAUAAGAAAUUGACAUAUCGAUGAGAGAAGAGAGAGAGAUCAACGAGACAAAGGUGUUCAAAUUGUUUGAGUUAGAGAGAGAGAGAGAGAGAGAGAGAGAGAGAGAGAGAAUGUGUGUGUGUGUGUGUGUUCAAAUUGUUAGAGAGAGAGACAAAAACUAACCCCGUUAGUGAGAGAGUGAGGGUUAGUUUGAGAUUUAAAUUGGAUGACCAGUCAAGGAGGUAGCAGGUCAUCAUUAAUCUAGUUGGACCAAUCAUAAGUAACCACGUGGUUAAGGUAUCCAUACCUUAAGGCACAUAAGUAUUUGCCGUUUCCUUAAUUUCUUUCUUUAAAUUUUUAUUGUUGAGGCAAUUCCUGAACUAAGUUCUAAGCAGAAAUUUCCGGUUUUAUUUUGUGUGAUGUUGGGUUGAGAUAUAUUUUGAGAGUUAUUCAUACGGGCUUUAUAACUUACCAGGUUUGUUGUUUACAACCCGGUGCACCAAUUUUUGGUGUAGAGGUUAGACAUGCAGGUGAUAAUCAGCAGGGUUGAGGUAGUGGCUUAGGAUCUGGGUUUUAGACAAUGUGCAGUUUUUGUAUAUUUUGUAAAUUUGUUUUUAAGCUCUUAUGAGCGACAUUAUUAUUACUAGACUUUUAAAGUUGAUGUAAUUAAGGAGAUAUAAUGUUUAACUUAGUUGUUGAGUUUGUUGAUAUUUACAUUUCCAGUAUUUGUUUUUAGAUGAUAGUUGUUGAGCAGGUUUUGGGACAUUAAGAUUUUAAGAUAUAUCAUACCCAAAUUUUUGAAAAUUUAUCCUUCGAAAAUUGGGGUGUGACAGUGGUGUUGCUGAAUGAUCGUAAAUUUGAUAACUUUGAUGAAUAAAAAUCUACCUAUCCUUAAGAGCAAGGAAAGCAAGUAAAUAAAGAGAGAGAAAACAAUAUUGAUAUCUUGGUUCUUGAUAAAAAAGAGAGAAAAAUCUAUGAACUUGAGAAGAAAAUGUACAAAAUAUAUACCUAGAAAAACAGUGGAAUAUGUUGCUGCUUCACCAAGUAGUCUAGGUAUAGAUGGGGCCUUCAAGGAUAUGGACUGGGCUUGCUACACUGGCCCUAUAUCUUAACAUACAGGUGUUGUUAGCUAAAAAACCACUCUUAAGUAUAAAGGGUACAAGUAAUAUUAUAAGGAUUAGGAAAGGUUGUCGAACCCACGAGGAUUAGAUUCUUCACUAGCUAAGGUGUUAACCUCAAUAGAGCUAGAAUAUGCACAUGUACAAUCACAAACCUAAAUACACAAAAAAAAAUCUAGGCUCAUGGUGAGUAUGUGUAAGAUUGAGUAGUAAUUUUAUUUUGGGUUUUUAAAGUUGUGAACUAAACUAAACUAAAUGCUCAAAUGUAAAUUAAAUUACUCCAAACUAAACUAGUGGUCUAAUAAAUGAUGUUAGGAUUCGAAUUGUCUACCAUUAACCUCUUUUGUAAGUAUUGAUGCAAAUCAAUAUGAAUGAUGGUAAGGUAAUCAACCAAUUUCUCUCCUUGCAUCCCUCUUGGGUAUGACAAAAGACAUGCUCCUUUUGUGGUAUCAAGCAACCCCUCUUAAGUGUAGUACUUAACUAUUUAAGUUGUGCAUUUCAAUCCGAUUAGGCAUCUAGUGCAUUACCCUAAACGCAUAAAGUUUGGAGAUGAAGAAACCAUGCAAACUAACCAAGCUUAUCCCUAAGUGAUUGUAAUUCACAACCCCUACAUGCACACCUAGUGCUCUUUCAUGCUUUAACAUUCAAAGAUUACCAAGCUCUAAACAUUAUCAUGUCAUGGCAAACACACAUACUCAAAGCGGUAAAUUCUAAGCAUAUGCAUUCAACUCUUGAACUAGCAUGUAGGAAUGUUAACUAAAAUUGCAUCACAUCAUAUAAUAGCAUCAAUCCAUACAAGAUUGGUUAGGGCUUUAAACCCUAAUCCUAACAAAGUAACUACUCACUCAUAAUAAUACAAAUUAACACCAAAUCUAAUGUACAUCAAAGGAAAUUAAAGAGUUUAAGGAAAGAGUAAACUAGAAGAAGCUUGACAAAUUGAUGGCUAGCUCCUCCAUGAGUCUCCUCAAUCAAUGCUCCUUGAUUCUCUCUUGAUGGUGGAAUGGAUGAAUGAUGAAGUUCUUGUUGAUGAUGAAUGGAAUGGAGAUAAAGAGAUGGUGCUAGCUCCUUUGACUAGUUUUGAGUGGGUAGUGAUGGAGUAGUGGUGGUGGCUAUGGAGUUUAUGGUGGUAGAAGAUGGAGGAGAUGGAGUAGAUUGGGUUUUGUGGGUGAGGUAGAGGAAGAAAAUGGGUUUGGAUUUUGGGAGAUGGAGAUGGAGUUUGUGGUGGAAAAUAGAGAGAAUGGUGAUAUAGGUGGAUGGUGUAUCAUGUAGUGGAUAGAUGGAUGCUUAUUAUAUAAAAGAAAGAUAAGUGAAAAUGGGGAAAAGUGAGAGCCAAAACAGCCUCCUUCCCUAAUUCAACCGUAAGGGAGAGAAGGAAGAGUGUGAGAGCGUCCAUGAAUUGCCAAAAACCAGACAAAAAUGUAGGGAAAUGAUGGCAUAGGUUAGAGUAUGCAAUGAUGAUGUUUAAAGCAUAGUGAUGUCUAUUAUCCAAGGAGUAAUAGAAUGAAUUUCAUGUUGUUACUCAAUCACCAUUCAUCUCCUUGCUCCUCUUUUAUGGUGACCGGAAAAGACAUGGCACCACCGUGGGUGGUGGUGCGCUGCUACUUGUGUCGCCAAUAGUGGUGGUUCGUCGGAAUCCAAGAUUUUACUUUUUGCUCCAUAUUAGACCGUCAUUCUUUAUAGCUCCGAUUCUCCAUAUCAAUGCCAAAAAUGCAUGUUUUCAUCACUCUUGCAAUAUUCCUAGACAAAUAAAUAAAUGAUUUAGUGAAAGCUAAAAUGAACUCAAAAACAAGUUAAAAUCAAUGUUUAGGGAAAAACAAAUACAUGUAAAUUAUGGUCUAAUAGGCAUUAAUCGAGUUGCUCGCCUUCAACAGUGGAGGAACCUCUACAUGCGUAUCUCUUUGUGACCUAGUGCGGAGUGACGAUCGCUUUACCAUCUUUUUCUUUCCACCCAAAAAUUUUAUGAAUUCGUCUUUGGAUAAUUAUAAAAUACGUGGACUAAUAAACUCUUAUAGUACGAUAAGAACUAAAGUUAUAAUAGUCUUGCAUCAUGUAUGGUUCGAGCAUUUGUUUUUUUUUUUUUUUUAAAUAGACAAUUUCAUUAACUUGUCCACGGCCAAAAUGCUCUUACAUCAAUUUGUCUACUCACUAUUAAUAUGUCUAAUUGGCAACAAACACCAACAAAAAGACAUAUAGCCCUCAUUACAAAUACGCUUAGUUAAACCUAUAACACCUAACUUCCAACUAUUUCUAUCUAAAUUUCAUGUAGUGAUAAUACUUGUCGCUUGCGGACCUCAAUUGGUGUACAACAAAGUAAAACCAAAAUCUAAACAAGAAUAGUCUUUAAUCAGAUGUCUAGGUAAGAAACAAAGAAAUUAAACUACCACCUUGCCCUUAUUAUUAGGGCUAGCCUAUCCCCUAUCAUACCUCAAGGAUGUCAUGUGAGACGGAGUAGUCAUGUUAUGGGCAAACUUUGUCUCAGGUCUACCAAAAGGUCCGCAUACAAGAAUAAGCCCAAACCCGAGCCCGAAAGCCCAAAUCCAAGCCCAUACCUUGUCAGCCCUAAUCCCUAUCAUCUUCUAGGUUGGCGGUGACGUUCUCGCCUGCCACCAUCUGCGGAUCUCGAGCGGCCACACUUUCCAGUCAUCAACUGGCUCCAUUGGCACAGCCAGGCCCACCCGGAGCCCUACAGUCGCGGCCUUGCAGCCUUCAUGUCCAAUCUGCCUCAACAAACGGAAGAAACGCCGACGGUAGUCAAAGCCAAAAUCAGCAAAGCUUGUUGCGGUAGCAACAACAGAUGCCAUUGAGGGAUAGAUGCGGUUUAGAAGUGGAGCUCUGUGGAGAAUUGACGUGAAACAAAGUUCGUGGCGCUAGGGUUAAUUUGGGAGGAAAACUAGGUGAGUGAAAGCUCCUAUCUUCUCGGAGCAUAACCGAGACUUUCUAGACUUUUGGAAGCCUUUAAGAACUCGGUUUGUGAUCUGAGUAUUUGUUAUUAGCUCGAUCAUAUGAUUUAUGGACUCUUAUUUAAAAAUACUCAUAAGUUUCAAAAUGAGUAAAUGACCAUACAAAAUUCAAACUGGUCUAACCAUACAAUACAAAUUGGGGACCAUUCCAAGAAAAAAAAUGAAGGUAGAGGAAAGAAGGAAUUAUUGGGAGCAACUCAAUUCGAAGCAGGAUUCAUUGGAAUGAGGAUUACUCACCAAAGAAAAGGCAUAAUAAACCUUAUCAGUUCUUAUUUGUGAGGAAGCUUUGAAUUGAACAUACAUUUUCUUUUGAAUGCCCAGCAAUUCGUACAAAACCCAAAGGCAUCAAGCUGCUUCUCGCGCCAGCGGCCACUACGACCCUCAUUUUCAUGACGAGCCUCCCUUCGAGGACUCCCCCCAAGCUCACCAAGAGGUUCGAGGCUAGGCACGGCAUCCGUUGUCGCAAAACCACGAAAACAAACCCGCGGUCUCUGAAUCCAUCCUUCAAGGCGGCUGUGGUGACGUUGCGGAGAUUGGAAGGCUUUGCUCGCAUCGCUCGCAGAAGCAAACAAGCAAUAAGCCAAAGAUGGACAAUAAGCCCUUAAAAUUAGUACUAAAUGGACAUUUGCCUUUUAAUUAAAGGGAUAGUUUCAUCUCUAAGUUUUGAAUCCGUGAUUCAUUCACUUUGUUCUUAGGCUGAUGCUAUUAACACACCAUAUUUUACUAUUCACACACUUCCUUCAUGAUAUGAGUCAAUCAUAAAGCAAUUUUGCCCCUUAAAGUUGAUUUAUGAUUGGCUCAUAUCAUGAAAGACCCUUAAAGUUGAUUUAUGAUUGGCACAUAUUAUGAAGAGACCGAGGUGUGUGAAUAACAAAAUAUGAUGUGUUUUAUCACUCCUGUGUUUAUCCUAGAUAUAACAUUUCGAAGAAUAAUUUACCUUCUGAAAAUUAAAAAAUUAUGCUCUACACAUCUGCAUGUUAUACAUCAUGUUUUUUAAUACACCCACACCCACGUGCAAAGCAUAUGCCAACAACCCUUAUACAUACACAUCUGUAGGCCAGACAAACCCCUGAAAAUUGAGGAAGAUCCAUAAAAUGCCUUUAAGCCAACGGCUAGUUAAUUUUAUAAAUGCAUACUUCUACUUUGCCAACCAUUCUUUGUACGAAAAGCUUUAAGCCAUGAAUGAUUUACAUAGCAAGUCACCUACACUUGCGAAAAACCAAAAAUCAAAGAAAUCAAAAAUGACAUGCCUGGCCUCCCCGAAAAAAGAAAAAAAAAAAAAAGUUAUAGUCAAUGACAGAAAAUAAAAACAGAAAUAGAAACAAGAAAACAACAAACAAGAACUCAAUAAAAAAAAAAAACAACAAACAAGAUCCUCCAUUCCAUUCUGGGCUAACAUGGCAAGAUCCGACCCAGGGUGCUUAACCCGUGAACGCAAUCACCGCUAAGCUUUGCUUACACUACUACUACGUACAAGACUCGAUCAUUCACGAGUAGGAGAAGGCGACGGGGUAUAGUACGGCGGCGAAGCACAAGGAGUCUCCAACGGCGUCGUAAACGCCUCGUCCAUCUCUAUAUUCACAACAGUCACUGCCACAUCUGGUACCCCAUAAUACUCUUCCAAGUACACCUUUGUCGUCGUCUUCACUACCUCUUUCUCUGCACAUGAAGAAUACGUCGUCUCCGAGUCCAAGCCCUCUCUCUCUCCCUCCUCUAUAGUGAACAAGAGCCUCGACGACCCGUACAGUGCUUGCCACUUGAUCAUGUCCUCCAGCUCCUGUAACUCGUUGUGGUAAUUUGGAGGCGGGACGUCGUGACGAGCUUCCUGAGGUUCGAUGCGAGAUUGGUUUUUCCAGCACAAGACGAAACUGAAAAGCCCACUAGCCUGUGACGACGUCGAGUCCCCGGGGAGAACUGAAUCGGUGUGAUGAGGGAUGCUCCGGUUACGAAGCUUCUUCCGGCGCCAGAGGAUGUAGAAGAUCUGGCCUACAAGACCUACAAGAAGAGAGACUGCAAUUACUAGAGUGAGUGCAGUCCCAAGCUUGCUGAGACCACCAUUCAUGUGUCUAUUUGAAGUCUGCAAAGUUUUUGUGAAAAAGUCUUUGUGAGCUUCUUUUCUCUGAAAAUGUAUAUAUCAUAUAUGGGUAAUCCGGUAACUGCCGACAGGUAGCUUACCGGGAAAAUGUGGAUGGGGAUCAGGGGAAUAUGAAUUUGAGGAGGUAGGGGUAAGUGACCUAGAAGGUUGCCGGUGAGGCAUGAGAGGAUAGAGGCAUGAAAAGGUUAAAGAAGACGAUGGAAGGAGAGUGAUGUUUUUUCUUGGAAAUGUGGGUGGAAGCAGAAAUGUGGCCAAGAAUUCAAGGGAGGAGGAGAACCUUCAAACCUUGUGUGGUGUAAAGGCGUGGAGGUCGAAGGAGUUUGGUCAGUGUGACUUGGACUUGCAUUUAAAUUUGAAUUAAUUGGGCGGUUGACUGUGGGGCUAAUUAUCAUCUCGUUCUGGUGUUUCACUGUUUUCUGCUAUAGUGGUAUUUAUAGGUGCAAGGAAACUUUUUCUUCUUUUCUUUUCUUGGAAUGAAAUUUCAUCGAAUCUUAACGAGAAAACUCGUUUAUAGUGGUAAUACUUGUGAGUUUGGGAGCAGUUACAAACUACAUAUGGCUAUCACUUUCAGUCAAAGAAUGAGUCGCUGUCCUAUGAGCUAUCAAAAUGUGCAUCUCUAGGAGCAUUACUGAAAAGAAAUUAGCAUGCCCUCUCAUUUUCUCUUUCACUUCUUCAAGCAUGACACACAAAUUGGAGAAAAUUAGGCGGCGGUUGUUAAAUGUGACGUUCAGUAAUGAUUUCAUGUUUGUAUUUUCAUUUUUGAAAAUGAAAAUGAGAUGAAAUUAAAUGUGUUCGGUGUGACAUUUUUGAAAACAUUGAAAAUGAAGAAUGAAAAAAUAUUUUCAACUUUUACAUAGAAAAACUGAAAACAUCAAUUUGACGUUUUCAUUUUUUCAUUUUCUUAGUUUAGACAAUAUGAAAAAUAAUUUCACGAUAAAUUACCGAAUACAUUUCUAAAGUAGAAAAUAACAAUCUCAUUUUCUCAUUUUUAUUUUCAAAAAUCAUUUUUGAAAACCGUUUUCAAAAAGUUAUCGGAUAGGCACGUUUUCAUGUAUGUAUUUUUAUUUUGAAAUGAAAAUAAGAUGACAGUGUGUUUGUUGAGACAUUUCUCAAAACAUGGAAACGAAAAAUGAAAAUAUUUUCAACUUUUACAAAUUAAAACCGAAAAAAUCAAUACGUCGUUUUUCUCUUUUUCAUUUCUCUAGUUCAUAAAAUAUGAAAAGUAUUUUUCACAAUAAACUAUCAAAUACAUUUCUAAAAUUGAAUAUUACAAUAUGUUUUCUCUAUUUUUUUGUUUUUAAAAAUCAUUUUUCAAAAACGUUACCGGUAGUAUCUGCCUUCUCUUAAGAAACUUGAAUUAUGACCAAUGUCGUUUCAAAAUUUCAUGAUCUAUACUAAUUUUCCUGAUCUACUCUCUUUAUCUCGAAGUCCAAGCUAUAUCAAAAUCCUAAUCAGUCUUAGUAGCCUGCUUCGUGCAGACGUGCUACUGCCACUAGUGAUGGAUCUAUGGCAUGGUCUCUUGGGAUUGAUUGGUUUUAAUGGUUCAACGGGGGUGCACGAGUUGUGUUCUUGUCGACAACACUUUGUUGUAGAUGGAGCGCUCGGGAUCUCAAUAGAGGUGUCGACGCACUUAAUUUGUUUCCAGAUGGAAGUGGCACCGAGAGCAUCACAACGGUGACUUCAAUACAAGGAUUUGUAACCAGGUCUGGUUCGGUCUAUCAUCUUUCCUUUAUCAUUUUUUUGUCCUCUAGCUAGGUGGUAGUGAAUUUAGACGACGGAGGCUACGAGGCAAAUGGGCAAUACAUUGAGCGAGGCAUUGUGGUAGGAGUGUUUGGCAAAGAUGAGGGGAGGCGUGGAGCAUGCCAGCAUUAGAAGUGGAGAUGGGCCAUGGCUCGAAAUUUAUUAGGUGUGUUUGAUAUAGCUAUGGCUUUUAACAAAAGUUGGGUUUUGCUUGUUCUGAGAAUAAGUGGUCGAAAAGCAAAAAUGUUGUGUGUUUGGUAAACUGACUUUUUAUAAGCGUUGUAGAUGUUGGAAGCAAUGCCAAAGUGUUUGGUUAACUGAAAACGAAAAAAUUAUUUGAGUUUGUAAAAUGACCUGUUUGGUACGUAAACUGAUUUUUUAUAAGCGUUGUGGAUGCUGGAAGCAAUGCCAAAGUGUCUGGUUAACUGAAAAACGAAAGAAAUUAUUUGAGUUUGUAAAAUGACCUAUUUGGAUAUAAAUGAAAGAAGUUUUCUCCUUAAUUUUUUUGGUUAUAUAAUGUAGCACAGUUACUCAUAAUUAAUCUUUAUUAUUUUUAUAUAAAUUUUUCUAGACUACGAAGUUUUAUAAAUCAUGGUGUUAUUAAAAAAAUUAAAUAAAUCAUGGCGACCAUGAGAAUAAUAUUGGAGAAUACUCUGUAAAACUCCAUAAAUAUAUAUGAGUUCAUUAACAACAAUUCAUUUUUCAUUGGCAUCAAGUAACCACAAAUGAUUUUCUACCUUCAAAAAAAUCUCCAAAACUUCCACAGCGUAAGGUCGUCGCUCCCAGCGCACAGUUACAAACCCUAAUUGCCUAGCAACAACUCUCUUUGAUCUCCUCUGGUUUUCGAUCCCAUGGCUUUUGUUCUCCAAAAAAAAACAAACAUAUAUUCCACAUCGUCAUUGACGAUGCAAAACCCUAACAAGUCGUAUGCAUCCUCAUCUAAUGAUGAAGUUACCAAGUCAUUUGCUGCUUCACUUGUGCUCGCAAGUUCAAAAGUGGUCGAGCACUUUGAUCACACCUCAGGACCUAAGAGGUGGGAUGCGCAAUCGUUCAUUGUUGCUAAGCCUCUCAAAUCUACACCACCAAGCUUGGCCAAUAUGAAACGCUCUUGUAAUAGGGUUUGGGUGCUUGAGAGAUGAUUCCAAAUCAAGGAGCGUUCAAACAAUAUCUUCAUAAGUGGUUUUGAUCUCAUCAAAGACAAAAGCAAGGUCCUACAUGGUGGCCCUUGGUGGUAUCAGUAGGCUCCGGUUGUCAAAAAACAUGUCGACUAAGGAGCCCUCAAAAGACCUCCAUACCGGGCAACUCAUGGCCAGGCCCGGCCCAAGCCCAAUGCAGCCAGGGCGCCCGCACUAGACCCAGGGCUAAAUGGGGCACACCAAUCCUUAAUUCAUGCCUCAACACUACCAGAAGAAAGGCUUUAGCCGACGAAAAUAAAAAAACCAGGCCGACGAAAAUAAAAAACCAGGCCGACGAAUCAUUUUUUCGUCGGCUAAAGUGGACGAAAUUUUCCUUCAUCGGCUAAUUUACAUGUUCGUCGGCUAUGGUCAACUUUAGCACACGAAAUAAAAAUUUCGUCGGCGAAAGAAUUUAUUUCGUCGGCUAAAGUUCACAGACUAUAGCCGACGACUUUAAACAUUCUUUAGCCGACGAAAUUAAAAUUCCGUCGGCUAAAAUGUUUUAUAUUUGCAGAUCUGGACAGCAGCACAUCUGGGAAAAACAAACAAGAGAAGAAAAAACGGAGAAAAAGUUUGGGUGUUGUUGAAAUCUGUCCAUAAUUAGUUUGUGGAGCUAUAUAUAGGUACGUACAUGUGUAUAUAUGUUGAUUUUGAGUUUUAUUUGAGUUGAUCGAUUUUGAGUGUGAUUGAAUUGAUAGAUUUUGAGUACGUUGGAUGUAUAUAUAUAUGUGUUGAUCGAUUUGGUUGAUGAUUUGAUAAUAUAUAUGAAGUUGUUGUUAAUAAGUAGUAGAUAUAUAUAUAUAUAUAUAUGUUAAUUAAUUUAUAAUAUUGUGUUGAUGGUAUGAAGUUGUUGAUGAUGAUUUUGUGAUGAUGUUGAUAUAUAUAAUAUUGUUAUAUAUGUAAUUAUUAAGUAUAUAUAUAUAUAUAUGUUAAUUAAUUUGUUAUCAAUUAGUUGUAGUACGUAGAAUAUAUACUAAAUGAAUUGAAAUUUUAUAUAUGACAUAGAAUUUAAUUAAUAAUUAGCUAGCGUUAUACAUAUAUAUUUUGUUAUAUUUUCAGGAUAUAGAUAAGAGUUGGAUUUCGCUUCCAAAAUGGGACAAAAGAUAUGGUAAAGGAGUUAUGCGUUUUAUGGAAUAUGCGCUGGCUAAUGCUAACGGGAAUACAAUUUUCUAUUGCCUGUGCACGAAAUGUCAGUGUCGUAGCGAUAUGCAUCGAUUUAGGAUUGACAAAAUAUGGCAGCACCUGAAGAGUAACGGGUUUUGGGAGAAGUACACAUGUUGGUUAUAUCACGGUGAAACAUCAUCAGGGGGUCCGCAUGAUCAUGGGCAAUUUUCUGAGACGGGCAGUACAUCCAAUGAUCCAACAACGGCCUUCAUCAAUGACAUGUUUCCUUAUGAGAGUGGUGUAGGCGCUCAAGGACAAUAUAUGCCUGACCCGGUGCAGCCCUUCCCUAGAGCUGUCAACACUGCUGGUAUUAACAAGUACAACAAACUGCUUGCUUUCCAACAGACCCCUGUGUACCACAGUUGUCAGAAGACCGUUCUUGAAAGUGUGAUGGAUGUAAUGAAGAUUAAAGUUGAGACAAAAUCAACCGUGAAAGCUGUUGAUGAUUAUAGUACACUGCUUCGAUGCUGCCCCACGGUCAUCGUCUUCCUACCACUCAUCAUAAGGUCCGAUGUAUCCUGAAAGAUCUUGGGCUUUCCUACGGUCCGAUGUAUUCUGAAAGAUCUUGGGCUUUCCUACAUCAAGAUCCAUGCAUACAGAUAUGAUUGCGUUCUCUUCUAGGGUAAAGAUCCAGAAGGGAAUGACCUUGGUGGCCUUGACGCAUGUCCGGUAUGUCACACUGACAAGUAUAAGAUGACUUCUGCAGGCAACAGGAAACCUGUGAAGGUACUUCGGUAUUUCCCGUUGAGGGAUAGGCUGGAGCGGUUGUGCAUGUCUUCACACAUGGCCGAAGCUAUGAGAUGGCACGUUGAUAGGGAAUUGCAUGACGAAGAUACCCUUAUACACCCUGCUGACGGGGAGGCUUGGAAGCAUAUAGACAGGGAGUUUCCUCAUUUUGCGUCAGAGGUCCGAAAUGUGAGGCUCAUGCUCUCAUCCGACGGGUUCAACCCUUUUGGCAACAUGAUUCUUCAAUACAGUGUAUGGCCGGUUAUUUUGGUACCGUACAACCUUCCUCCAUGGAUGUGCAUGAAGAAGGAAUACAAUAUGUUGAGUUUGUUGAUUCCGGGGCCAGGUUAUUCAGGGAAAUGUCUCGAUGUGUAUUUGAGACCUUUGAUUGAAGAGCUUAAGUUUUUGUGGGACGUUGGUCAUCCCACUUAUGACAAGUACAUGCACGAGAUGUUCCAGAUGCAUGUCAUGGUUGUUGGUACCAUCAGUGAUUUUCCUGCCCGUGGGAUGUUGUCAGGCAACGUUGUUAGGGGAUACAAGGCUUGUCUAGAGUGCCUCAACGAUGAGGGGAGCAGCAGUCAUUGCAACAAGAUAUGCAAAUUGGGUCACCGUACUCUCCUUCCAUAUGAUCACGAAUGGCGGCUCGAUGCACAGGCAUUUGAUGGGACCGUAGAAAACGGUGUGCCUCCAAGAAGAUGGACGGGGGAAGAAAUUUUAGCAGUGCUUAAUGAGUACGAUUUUGGGCAGCUCAGCAAUCAUCCCAAUAUGGUGGCGGCAAUACCUAAAAGACCUGACAUGUACAAAUUCUGGACACAUAAGAGCAUAUUUUGGGAACUCCCAUAUUAGAGUAAGUUGUUGAUCAGGCACUACCUAGAUGUGAUGCACAUAGAAAAGAAUAUUUAUGACAGUGUGGUGGGCACAAUGCUGAACUUGGAGGGGAAGACGAAAGACGGUCCUAAGGCACGCAUUGAUCUAAAACAAAUGCAAUUAAGAAGACAUCUGCAGUUGAAAGAAGGGAAGAAAAAAAUGUCUCAACUCCUUACACUAUGAAGCCUGACCAGAAGAACGUAAUUUUCAAGUGGAUGAGUUGUGUGAAGUAUCCUUCAGGCUAUGCAAGAAAUAUAACCCGGUGUGUAAACUUCCGGGACAAUAAGAUGUACGGGUUGAAGAGUCAUGACUGUCAUAUCCUUCUACAACGUCUCUUCCCUGUUUUCAUUCGACCGUUCAUUCCCUGUCUGGUGGUGGAGCCGUUAGUAGCGUUGGCAAGAUUCUUCCAGAAGUUAUGCACACGGGAAGUGAAAAAAUCUAACCUCCGGGAAAUGCAAGAAGACAUCAUUUAUAUCAUGUGUAAAUUUGAGAGGAUAUUUCCUCAAAAUUUUUUUGACAUCAUGCCUCACCUGAUGAUCCAUCUUCCCGAGCAAUUGUAGCUUACCGGUCCAAUACACUACACUUGGAUGUAUCCCAUGGAAAGGUAAGUUUUUUACACCUGAAUUCCUCAAUAUACAUGUUCAAUAAUCAUAACACUUUACAACUUGAUUUAUAGGCAACUUGGAGACUACAAAGAUUAUGUGGCUAAUAAAUCCGCGCCUGAAUGAUGUAUAGCUGAAGCAUAUAUUGCGUACGAGUGCGUCACCUACAUGAAGUUGUAUUUAGGAGCGUUGAAGGAAACUCCGCAAACCAUACCGGUAGAUGUACCGAAGUUCAUUCUUUCCAUACUCUCUAGUGAUGUUGAAGUUUAUGGAAUUUUGCCAGACUCCUACAAGUUGCAACCACAUGAGCUAAUCAUUGCCCACUGACGGGUAUUGAUUAACUGUCCAGAAGUUGAAUACUGGAAAGACAUCCAUCUACAUUGUCCAGGCAUUCAAGGUGAUCUCGAGUACCACAACAGGGAGUUCGCAAAUUAUUUUGGCGGCUAGGUACGUAAUUCAAUAUUUCUGUACGUGUUUAUGUUUAUUGCAUAAUUAUCCAUAUUUAUAGUUAAAUGGUUGGUUGCAGAUGAAUCAUAUUCAAUUUGAUGGUCACCCAAAUUGGUCGCACGAGCUAAGACUUCUAGCGAUGAAGCCGAUAAUGUCAAGAGUUUAUCCGAUGUGCAAGAUGAAUGGCGUGUAAUUUAUAUGUGAACAGAGAGACAGCAGAUGGAGAACACAGAAUUCUGGGGUGAAUGCACAUGGUGGGCGGAAUAGAGUUGACUAUUACGGUGUUCUCCAUUCAGUGGUGGAACUCGUUUAUGGGCAAGGCAUGACAAUGCACCUCUUCAAGUGUAGAUGGUUUGAUACUAGGCCGCAGAGCAUGAGAACCGAUCAGUACGAAAUAUUAUCGGUGAACACUGCUACAAGUUGUUAAGAAAAUGACCGGUUCGUUUUUGCCACAUCGGUAAAACAAGUGUUUUAUCUUGGUAACCUUGCUAAGGCUGACGCGUGGAAAGUAGUCAACCUUGUGCACCCUCGAAACAUUUACCGAGCGGCUACACUUGGAGAGGCCGAAGACGAGGAAGAAGAUGUUGCGUAUCAAGAGCCCAACGCAAUAGGUAUUCUUAACUCCUCUACCGUUCGCCUUAAUAAUUUUAAACCGGGUUGUUCGGUGCGAAUUCGUGAUGAAGAGCAAAGGCUUAUUGAUGUUGAUCCAAAUCAAGAAACAGACAAAAACUCUGGCGAUAAGGAAAUACAUAGAUUACCAGAAAUUAAUUUGACACCGAAGAAGACUCAUCGGAUGAUUCCGAUUACAAGCCUUAGUUUUAAUUUAGAGGACGUAAUACAUUAAUUUGUAAUAAAAAAGAAUGUAUUACCUUUAUAGUUUACAUAUGUUGAAUUCAUAUUUCUAUUAUUUUAUAUGAAUUUUGGUGAUAUAUGAACAGGAAGUGAGUAUGGUUUACAUUAAACCUUCAGUUUUUUUAAUGUAUUUUUUAUACUUUAGCUGACGAAAUACACCAUAAUUCGUCGGCCUAAACCAUCUUAGCUGACGAAUUAUAGUAUAUUUCGUCGGCUAAAACCAUCUUAGCCGACGAAUUAUAUUAUAAGUCGUCGGUUAAAAUCAGUUUAGCCGACGAAUACCCUAAUAUUUCGUCCGCUUUAUUUAUUUUUUUAUUUUUUUAUUACAUACUAUAGCCGACGAAUAUAUUAGGUUAUUCGUCGGCUAAACCCUAAAAUUUUUCUAUUACAUACUAUAGCCCUAUCUUCGAUGGUUAUUUCCGUAAAAUUUUUAUACGACUUGUUGCGUCUCAUCGAUUUGAAACUAUUUUCAAUUGAAGGUCUGGCCAAAAUACAAAAUUUAGACGGUCCAACAACCUUUUUCGUUCAUUUAGGUGUUUGACUUACGGGAUUGACCGUCCGGAUCGAGCCCUUAACCUUGUCGGAUCAAGUUGAAUUUUUGCCCAUACAUGUAUUUUGUCAUGAUGGUCAGAUCUGACGGUCGGAUUUUCGUUUCUCAAGUUUGAUCAUCACAAUCACAACAUGUCUACUAAUGUUGUAUAACUUGUUUACCAAGUGUUAAGUAAAUGUUCCGUUUCAAAAAUAAACUAUACGUAAAACCUUCAAACGCAAAAAAGUCGUGACAUAAGAUAUAACCAAAAUGGUGAAAUAAGUCCACGGUUGAAAAAUCACAGUAUUCCGGUAAAGUUUCGGUGCCGAUAGUUGCGGUCAAUGCAAUUUUUCAUUCUUACUCCCUAUGAGUAGCCCUAUCUUCGGUGGUUAUUUUCUGUAAAAUUUUUAUACGACUUGUUGCGUCUCAUCGGUUUGAAACUAUUUUCAGUUGAAGGUCCGGCCAAAAUACGUAAUUUAGACGGUCCAAUGACCUUUUCCGUGCGUUUAGGGGUUUGACUUAACGGAUUGACCGUCCGGAUCGAGCCCUUAACCUUGUCGGAUCAAGUUGAAUUUUUUCCCAUACAUGUAUUUUAUCAUGAUGGUCAGAUCUGACGGUCGGAUUUUCGUUUCUCAAGUUUGAUCAUCACAAUCACAAUUUGCCGAAUGUAUAAAAAGUACUAUAGCCGACGAAGUUCAAAGGUUUAGCCGACGAAUUUCAAAGGUUUAGCCGACGAAUUUGAUCUUAGCCGACGAGAAUAUUAUCUUAGCCGACGAGAUUAUUAUUUCGUCGGCUAAAGUUGUCGAGUAUAGAGACGAACACCCAGUGCUCGACAGCAAAAAAACUCUAGCCUCCUCUUCCGCCUCCUCCGCCUUCUCUCCCUCUCUCGGUCUCCCGGUCGCCCUCUCCCUCUCCUGGUCUGCCUCCUCUCUCUCCCUCUCUGGGUCUCCGCCUCCUCCCUCUCCCUCUCCCGGUCUCCACCUCCUCUCCCUCUCCCUCUCCCGGUCGCCGCCCUCUCCCUCUCCCUCUCCCAGUCACCCUCUGCUGCUCGCCUGCUCCGGCCCUCCCUCCUCCUCCUGCUGCUCCGGUCCUCCCUCCUCCUCCUGCUGCUCUAGCCUCGAGCCCUCUCUCCUCCUCAAGUACGUACAUUUCUGUUUCACAUUUCAUUUUGUGUUUGCUUUGAUUUUCCGGUCAAUUGCAAUGUUGUGGUGUUGUUAGGAAGUGUAUAUUUGUAUUUAGGAAGUGUAUAUUUUUUUUUGUUUGACUAAUUGAAUGGGUUUACAUUGUUUGAUUUUGUGGUGUUGUUACGAAUAUAAAAAUAAGCAUGAAAUUGACCUCCUCUUCUUGUCAUGAAAUAUAAAUCUAAAAGUUACGAGCUUAAAAAAUUAAUUUUUAAAAGUUACAAAUGUAAUUUUUUUUUUUUUUUCAAAAGGCUGAUGCCUUGGUGAGGCUCUCGCUCCAUAGCCUCGGCUACGCCUUAGCCUUUUAAAACAUUGGCCUUGAUUCAAAUUAAUAUUUUAAACAGGAUGAGCGGUAAUAUUAGAUUGACGAAGGGUUCAAAGGGCCAAAGGUCCGAAUCGUCUGAGGGAACCUCUAGCAACCCUCAAACGUCGUUUCAAGGCCCCAUGACAGCCAGACGUGAGAGCCUUCUGCAGACGAAGCAGAGGCAGCUGGAGGUGCCCCCUUCAUCGAGGCAGCGGGGCGUCCCUCAUUCCUCGAGGCAGUUGUGGCCUCAGACCCAGACGGAGGUGUCUGCACCCCGUAUACCUGAGAUACACCGGGCGCCCACUCCAGGUCCUACUUCUUCGGAUAGUGGGUGAUCUGGGGUACAGAUGCCACCGCCUCAUCUGUUCCUUCCGCGGAUGAUACCGGCCUUACCUGCAGUUGAUGGCUUAGGGACGCCGAUUUAUCCACUGCCCCCGCUAGUGGCUCCAUCAGCGGCGUACCGGUUCGUGCCUUUUGAUACGCCUCUUAUUUCCGCGAGGGUAUCAUCAUCGGCGACAGAGACGAAAUCCGUCAUGUCUUCCGCAUCGCCCUCAGGUAAUGAAAGAUGAAUGAUUUGUUUUCUUAUAAUUCUCCGAUUUUAAUAAUCAAUUUGGUUUAUCAUGUGACAGACACCGUCGGAGAGAAGCCGACAAAGAAGAAGAGAGGCCCCACCGUCGGAGAGAAGCCGACAAAGAAGAAGAGAGGCCCCGUCACAAGGAAGGCUCUCGAGAAGAUCGUCGGUACCUCAGGGAGGAUCAUCAUCCAUACUGACGGGGAUGGCGACAUAGUAUAAGGCGGGAAGUCGAGGACGUACUCCGGCCGCGUGGGAGCGCUCAUUAGGGAUAGAGUCCCUAUGUUGUGGUCAAAUUGGGGCGAGGUCCCGCAGGAGGUUAAGGACAUGGUCCACAACGCGAUGUCAGUGAAUUUACAAAAUGCCUCAAUAAUAUUAUGUAUUACAUUGUUGAUUUCUCGAAAAACUAAACUAAUAAACGGUUAAAUGCCGGUGUGGUUUGAGGUUCCCGAGCACUUGAAGAGCAGCUGGGCGGACGUUGUGCAUGGGGGAAGGUACGUUAGGAAGUUAAUGAAAAAACAAAAUUGUAUGUGAUAUUAAUAAUAUUUCUAAUAUUUUUGUUGUAUCUGUAGGUACAAGGAGUGGAAGAACGAGUUGCGGACCCACUGGACUACGCACGGGAACGCACGUUCUGGUACCCCUGUUGAGUUCCAGUACAGAGAGUACGAGUGGCAUUGGCCUCUGACAUCAGAAUUCAACAACCCUCGUAAACAGGUAUUUAAAAAAUUAAUUAGUUAAUUUGUCAUUAAAUACGUGCCUUUUUAAAUAUUUUACUAAUAGUUUAUUUUUUUCUUUGAAGGCCGUUUCCCGGGCAAACGCUCAGAACCGGCAACGCAACACUAGGAACCAUCGUGCCGGUUCUAGACCGUUCGCUGUCUUCAUGGACGAGGCGGCCAGGGAACAUCCAGAAGUCAACCAGUACGUCUAUACGUACGAGAAGGCAUAUCCUGAUGCCCAGGAGGAUAUUGUAAGUCAUCUUAUGUUUUUAAAUUUUUAAUUUUAUUUAUAUAUAUGUCAAAAUGUUAAUUAAUAAUUUUUUUCCUAUUGAAUUAGGCGAAGGUGAGGGAGGCUAGUGACGAGGUGAUGAGUGCUAUAGUGAGGGAGACAUGGCCGAACACGUAGGAGGAAGAGAUGUCUGAAGCGAUGUCCCGGAUCGACACUUCGGAUCCGACGGUUGGGGCGAGGAUCAUGGGCACAGCCUUCCCACCGCGAGCAAACAUCUUCUACUGCUGGGGUCUAGGAAAGAAGGGCGAGGGGGUCUUGAAGACCACUCUAGGAUUUCAAUGAAAUGCAGCCUCGACCAGCAGCAGGACCACAACCACCAGGAUGACUCAGCUAGAGUUGGAAGUUCAGAGACUACGGGAACAGCAAGCUGCUCAGGCUGCCUAUAAUGCCCCGCAGGCAGCCUAUAAUGCCGCGCAGGUAGCUUAUGUUGCCGAGAUACGUGCCAUCUAGCAGGCCCAGCAGCAGCAGAUGUUCCAGUUUACAGCUGCCCAGCUUCAGGGACUUCCGGCUCCACCCAUGCCUACGGCUAUACUGCUACCCUAGCCGCCGCAACCUCCGCAUCAACCUCCGCAGCAGCCCCCAGAAGCGGAUAUUAAUUUAGACGAUCUAGAUUUUGUGUAGUUGAUGAAUUAUAGUUUUAUGUGCUUAUUGUUGUUGGUUAUAUGGAAUUGUUUUGGUGUAUUUUGCAGCUUGCUUGGAAUGGUAAUUUAGAAAUUUCGGGUUUUUUUUUUUACUGGAAUGGACUUAUAGCCGAUGAAAUACGCAAUAAUUCAUCGGCUAUAGUAUUUUAAAUUUUUUUUAAAUAAGGUUUAGCCGACGAAUUAUGGCAUGUUUCGUCGGCUAAACCCUUGUAAAGCCGACGAAACAGACUAUAUUUCGUCGGCUUUAUAUUUCGUCGGCUUUAGUUAUUUUUUAAUUUUUAAUUACACACUUUAGCCGACGAAUAUCUUAAAUGUUUCGUCGGCUAAAGUCUGAGAAAAAACCGACGACAUGUUUUUCGUUGGCUAAACUCUUGGACUAUAGCCGACAAAUAUCUUAAAUAUUUCGUCGGCUAAAGUCUGGGAAAAAAACCGACGGACAUGUUUUUUGUCGGCUAAACUGUGGGAUUAUAGCCAACGACGUCUUCUAGUUUCGUCGGCUAAAGUCAUCUCUGACAACCUUUUCCCGACGGAAUCUCAGCCAACGAGCCUUCGUCGGCUAAGAUCAUGGUUCUAAAAAACGCCGCCCAGGGCCGCCUAGGCGCUGGGCGGCAGGGGACCGUUCCGAUUUUGCACAAAUCGUCGAAGCUGGGCGCCAGCGCAAAAAACGCCUGUGCGGCCCAAUUAUGCCUUUUUUUUUGCUGGCCCGAUUAUUGGUUUUUUUUUUUUUUUC